rnacentral:lncRNA from 1 species
GAAUAUAUUUCAAACUUAAUCAUUCACCUUGCAUCAAUACAUUGUUGAUUGUUGUAGAGUAUGGCAUGGGAAGUGCGGUAUCUAUAGAAGGAGAUGUCUAUAGCUUCGGAGUCCUCGUUUUGGAGAUGUUCACAGGCAAGAGGCCAAUUGAUGACAUGUUUGCAAAUGGGUUGGACCUUCAUCGCUUCACGAAGGCAGCUUUGGCAGACCGAGUUGAGAAGGCAAUUGAUCCUAUUUUGCUUCAAGAAAUCGAGGAGUUGGAGAAGAGACGAACGAUCGCUCCAGAGGGCAAGAACAAGAGCUGGUGUAGUAUCAAGGAUUGUUUGGUUUUGAUGAUCGAAGUAGGAAUCACUUGCUCUUUUGAGUCUUCGAAGGAGCGAAUGGACAUCUAUGAUGCAUUGACUAAACUCCAAGGAAUGAGGAAGAAACUUCUUGAGUUCAUUGUCACUGUCUAGUUGAUGUCAAAUUUGAACUUCAUAUGGAGUCAUGUGGUCUUCAUGGUCCUUGUCUUUUGGUUUUUCUUCCUUUGUAAUUCAAUCAUUCUCUAGAUGUUACGUCUUGUCUUUCAAAUUUAAAGGAUAAUAUAUUACUGAAGCACUCCGACAAUCUAUUUCCAGCCUACACUCCAAAAGCCAUGAACCGAGAUGUUCAAUCAAAUUCUACUUACAAUAGGCAACUAAAAGAAAUGGAAUGAAUCUAGCAUCAAUCGAAAGUGAAUUGACAAGCGUCAAAUUCCAAGACCUCAAAUUCGCCUUAGAAGUUGCUAAGAAACCCUACUGGAAGAGGAAGGGGGAGAAGUGGUGUGGUGAAAAGAGGAGAAACGGCCUGGUGGCGUGUUGCCGCGGUGGGUCCGAAAGUUUUCAGCUCAAUCUUCAAAGACUCAGGAAAAAUGGCCUCGAAAGAUUGCAUAACGCUCCUUUUUUUUUUUGGUUGAUGCAUAACGCUCCUUCAGCGGGUUUAAAAUCAACUAAAAACGAAUUACGGUGGCAAGGAAGACAAUUUUGCUUCAGCAGUAGGCAAAGGAAGAAGCAAACGGUAGAAAAAGCAAAGGAGGAAGCAAACGGUAAAAAUCUAAUUCAUGCAUUUUUUUUUUUAAUCAAUUGCAAAUUUUGGAAAAGAAUGUCAGUCUGUCAGAAGAAGUCGGCUAAUAAAGAUUUGAUUGGCCGGCAAACUCAGCCCCUUAAUUGAGAUUAUCUUAAUCACUUAUUUGAAGGGAAAAGAUCACUUCUAGCCAUUUAAUCAUAAGCAUGGAAUAAAUGCGAUUUUUUUAUUGAAAGAAAUGUUUUUUAAACGGGUCCUCCCUCGAUCCCCUCGUCUUCCGCCUCCAUGGCUACGUCGCCCGGUCACUGCUUCGCCAAUGCCUCCCGUCUCGGCUCAUCACCGACGGGCUCCGCUGCAUCUACGCCGACCGCAUCCACAGCCCGAGCCUCGCUCCGGCCCCGUCUCUGUCGCCCCCGGCUCCCGUGAGGUUCCGCUUACGUAAAUGUACGAACUAAAGCUUCGAUAUUUUUUUUUUUUUUGGUGGUGUGCGGCCACCUGAGUGUCUCUGUUUCGUCUCUGCAGGGAAUGACUCGUGGGGGAUGUGCAGCGAGUGUGAAGAGAAUUUGGGAAAAUCAAGUGAGUUUGCCAUUGCUUUCGUUUUGCUAUUAUAAUCUCUAAGGUAACUGGGAUCGUCCAUUUUUCAUAAUAACUUAGUGUGACGGAACAGUCAUCCCCUGGGUUACGCUUUUUGUCCUCUUGUAUAUGUGAAGAGAAAUAAGUUUUUAAAUGAUCUCUUAUGUGGGGUGAAAAAAUGGCUGGAGAAAUGGCUUUCAUCAUUUUCUUUGGUAAGAUUUGAACUGUGUGUUUUUUUCUUUUUUCUGCUCUAACAUGGAACAGCCAGUGUCAAUUGUUACACCCGAGACAGCAGUUAUAUGGCCUCUAUUUGAAGCCGAGGCUGUACAUAACUGGCAAAAAGAGUUGAGAGAAACAGUUGCAAAACACUUGACAAAUUGUGGCUUUGAGUCUAACCCUCGAGGUAAGCAAUUUUAUUCACUAUAUGCUUGUUGCAGUAGAAUGAGGUUUGGCUGUCAUUUGGGAAUAUCAAUGCUGCAUAUAACGUGCCUUUUAUCACAGAUUUUAUGUGUCGGUUACUCCAUCUACUAGGUUGAAGUAUAAGCUUUUAUAUCUCUUUGGCUUGUCACAGAUACAUAUCAAGAGUUGGGUUUUACUCACUUACGAUGCACUUCCUUUUUAGAAGGGAAAAAAGGCCAAAGGUUAUGUAACAAGGAAAGCUGUUGGGCACGACUGUAAAAGGUUUUCUUUUGAAAUAUUGAACUGGCCACUUUAGGAAUCUUUCUUUAGUAUGGAGAAUCUCAGUCACGAUUAUAAUUAAAUAGUUAGAGUUGUCGCCAGUACAGAAAUGUUGCCAGCCCUUGAGUUGCUACAUCAGUCCAACAUGGUGCUUGCAAUAACUACACCUUUUUUUUUAUGUCAUCGUCAUUGGUUAGCCUUGGCUUCAUGAAUCUUUGUUGCUCAUUGAGAGUAGUCCAGAAACUCUUACUUCAACCGAGCUCAACGUGGAGUUGAAAUCUCUGCUGCUCAUUGAGAUUUUGGCGUUUAAGAAACCACACAGCAUGCAAAUACCGUACUUAUUUUAGUGUUGAAAUUUGGCAGUCACAAUGCAUGACAGCAGAGGACAACCAAAUAAAACUUCAUAGUUCUAACUAAACUUAUGCGGCAUAUUGACUUGCAGUUUGAAACCCUGAGAACCUAGCUAGGGAAAAAGGGGCAAACUAUGAAGGAUAAAAUAUGUUGCUUUUGCUAUCUUUUCUUGUGGAAAAACCAUAUUCAUGGCAAUGGAGACUGAAUUGUGGUCCCUGAUUUGACUGAACAAUUUAAUUUGAUAAGUAGUUUUAGACUCUAAGAAUCCUCAUUUCUUAUUCUUUCUGAAUGCUUAGGUUGAGAUCGUUGGUUGGAUUCAAAUGAAAAAUCUCUUAUUGUACUUUUAGGGGCUAGUCGUAUUGCUUUUAGAAUGGAUCAGAGUCGAUAUUGGCUGAACUUGCCAAGUUUUGGAUUGUUGCUCUUAUCUACAAAAUGCUUUUGUGUCAUCAAUUAAAAAAUUGUAGACUCUUUUAAUAGAACAGUUGACAGAACACAUCUGGUGAAAAGAAGGGGUUAUUGUGUAUGCUUAGGAUCAAUUAACUCUACAAACCUAAGGUCCUCAUUUUUGGGAACAUGAGAUGCAUCUUUGCGAAAUUUGAUUUGGUAUAGUUUCUAUCCUUGAUAUGAUUAUGUGGUGAUGAAGUAAGCAUAUUAAUAUUACAUAGUGUAAUUGCAAAAACUAUCCUCAAUUUUGCUUUUCAUAUCAAAUACCCUCCUCACAUUUCAAAAUCUAUAUCGUGCGUCUCCCAACCUAAAUUAACUUAUUUGCCCUUAUGCACGCAUGAGAUCUACACCUAGAAAGUGGAAUGCAACAUUGAGGAUGGGGUAAUUCAAGAAAUAUGUGUGGGUGCGAGAUGCAACCUGAAAUCCACAACCAAAAAAAAAAAAAAAUGGAGAGUGAUGAUUGGAUGUCUGAAAUAUGAGAAUAGCGCAUUUGAUAUGAGUAGCAAAGUGUAGGAUGAUAUCUGUAAUUUUCCAUGUCAUAUAAUACAAGCUAACUCCAGGAUGAAUAUUUCUAAAGCAGGUGGUGGUUGACAAGUUCUCUGCCUCGAGGUUCAGGUAGUGACCAACAUGGUGAUUGCAGUCAUGACUGUGGUCGUGAUCGUGGCCCUGAUCAGGCCUGUGGUGGUGGAUGUGGAGGUGGAGAUGGAGAGUGCUUGCGGAAAGCCUGGGCAUUCUACAAGUGAGUGUCCUAGUGAAGAGGGCAGAGGAGGUAGUUAUGCGGGGAGCAAUGACAGGUAUGGAGGUGGCGGUGGUGGACACUAUGGUCCUGAUCGAAAUGGUGGUUGACCUGGCGGGUGCAAUAGAGAUAGUGGUACUCAAGGAGGAUCAUGAAAUGACUGCUAUAAUCAGGACCGUUCUGGUCCCUAUGAAUGUCGUCGUACAGGAAACUUCUGUUCAGGGUAGAAAGAAUUCUCCUGAUAGGUAUGCACACAGGUUUUUCCUUUUAUAGUGAAGUAGUUGAUCCUGUGCUGAUUGAAAAGUGCUUGUAACAGAGCAAUUGAAGAUACUGCUGUUACUUGCUGGAGGUGUCAAAGUCUCUUCUGUUGCAUCUCUUCUUCAUGGUUCUCCAGGUGGACAAAUCUGCUUGAUCAAACUGUUGAUGUGCGAUCUUUGGCUAAAAGAUUCAACUGUUUAAUGUCUGUGAAUGCUCAUUUUGAUGUUGUGGAUCCAAUGACAUUGCUUGCUUUACUUAAACAAUCAAAUUUGGCCUUACUAUUUCAAUGCUAUGAUGAGUACUGGAUUCUCUUUUGCUUACAUGCUUUAGCAAUUGCAGAUGCAUCUGAGAUCAAUCUUGGUUGACUUCUUCCUUGGCAUUUGUGACUAUGGAGUGUGGACAGCUUUUUGGUGUCUAGAUGGCUCUUUUGAGGAUAGGACGAGAUUCACCUAAGGAAGUAAUGCGUUUUCUCUUCACAAAAGAGAAGUUGCCUUAGAAAUGAAUGCCUGUUUUGGCUACGAUUUUUCAAAUGUUUAACUUUUUGAAAAGGAGUUAAGCGGGUAGACUCUAUGUUUUCUUCUACACAUUUAGUAUGUGAGCUUUCUGUCUAUAGUUUGCACUAUAUUAACUCUGCUAAGCUUUUGGCAGGAUUCUAUGCUGUUUGUGGUGUUUUGAUGCGCAGUUCCGUUACUCUUAUAUCAUGAUACGUGGGUUUAGUCUUAAAAACUCUGAAAAGUCCUUUUGGCCUCAAGAAGCUGUUCUGUGCAAUUAACUCGGUAAAUUUCGUCUCACCUUCCACACAUUGUACUGAUGGAGGAGUUCCUUUCUCAGUAAAAUGUGGAGAUCUUUUGGAAGCUUUAGUGAGCAUGGCAAUUUGAUUUUCACGAUCUUCUUCCUAGCUAUCUGCUGUCUCUUAUCGCCAUCUUCAGUGGAGGAUUGCUGGUCUCUGUCUCACCCGUGUACAUGAUGCUGCUAUUGUCUUAGGUUUCCUGGAUAAAUUUCCCUUUCAGGUGUAAUGCGGCUCUUCCUAUGAAUCAGCUAUGUUGCUAAUAAACACACGGUUCUUUUCACUUCUGCAUUAAUGAUCUUUGCCAUGCUCUUGCAGCCAGUCAUUUGCGAUUGAUAAUGUAUCUUCCCUGAAUUCUUUCAGAAGUUGUGCUAGCUCCAUUUGAAAUUGAUAUUGGCUUUGUGACUCCUAGAUGUGGUAUAUUCUCGCCACAAGCAAAAAAAGCGGAUAUGAUCAUUUCCUUUUCAGCUCUCUCUCUGUAAUUACUUGGUUAAGGUUAUUGGGCAUUCUUAACUAUGGCUUUGUAAGUGAAUAUUUUCUUUUCCCGUUAUGCUUGUCAACAAAUUUGGAGAUCAAAUUGGCAAUACGUGCUCAGCAGGAAAGAGUUAUCUAUGCCUGUCAACAUUGUAUCGAUUUUCUGUUAAUCUUUGCGGCUUUCUUUAUAUACUUAUUUCUUUAAUGUCAGAGCUAGUCACAUACUUAAGUUGAUCCCUAUCUUAAAUAGAUUUUUCAUAACUCCAAAAUCAUUUCAAAAUCCAAAAGAAAAGAAAGGAAGCUGAAACAGGAAACCAAAAGGACCACAAUCAAACAAUACAAUGAUCUUAAUCAUCAAUAUACAAAGUACACUGGGAGGAGGCCGGGGGUUUUGCAUCCAGAGCAUUGAAUUGGAUGGUGAAGCUCUUGUUGAAGGUUUGAGAAAAGACCACGCUGUGUGGAUGGCUGAAAUGCUUGUGUGACUUCAUCUCUGUAUUAGGCUGCGGGCGUGCUUAUGUGUGUGAAACAGCGAAGGGAGGGAGGAAGGUUGGCUUUUGUUUUAACUAGGAACUGCUCAUGUAUGUAGGAAAUAGCGAAGGUUCAAGAAUUAAUGUUUAAAAUAUCGAAUAUCCUUUGGAUGAUUUGAUGAAUAAAGUCAAACAUAAUAUACGGAACUGUGUGAAAUCUUUUUCUUUUUCUUUUUUCACUUGGAUUCAACAUGAAUCCCAUUAUCUCUUAAUAUGCGAUUGGCAUAAUAUAUUGUAUUAACUCUAUAUAACAACUUUUUUAAGCAAUGUAAUCAUUUUUCUUCUUUUGUGCUUUAAGGGGAAGUACAUUGAACAUGGCUCUAUAUGGAACUCUGUGAAAUCUUUUUUUUUUUUUUUUUGUCACUUGGAUUCAACAUGAAUCCCAUUGUCUCUCGCGAUUGGCAUAAUAUAUUGUAUUAACUCUAUAUAACAACUUUUUUAAGCAAUGUAAUCAUUUUUCUUCUUUUGUGCUGUAAGGGGAAGUACAUUGAACAUGGUUAUAUGCGAAAGAAGAAAGACUGAUGCAGCUCAUUGAAUACAUCUUCCUACAUAAAUGAAGUGGUCUUGGAUAUCAUGCAGAUCUCCCCGUCUCUCUCUCUCUCUUCUUUCGAGUUCAUGCUUAUGCAUGUUAUUGGCAAAGUAGUGUGAUCUCGAUCUGGCCCAUGAUUCAAACUUGUUUCACGAUAUGUCCUUAUUUUAAGGGUAAGUCCACUUGUCUCAUAUUCCCCUUUACUUCAUCAAAUGAUAAAACUAUACUUUUAUUCCCUAAGUUUGAGCAUUCUUUUCCGUUCAAAUCCUCUAAACUUUGAGUCUUGUCCACAGCUUCAAUAUAUGAUUUCAUUGUUUGCUCCCAAUAGCCACAGUUGCUUCCAUCAAAGUAAGGCAGCUUGUUCGGAGCUCAAGUAUCAUUGGUAAAGAAGCCGCCAUGAUUAGCCAUGAUAAAGGAUCUUUGUAUUUAGAAGAAAUACACUUCAGAUAAAGAGUAAUAAAGCUCUGAUACCAAUUGUUGAGAUUAACAAAACAACCUAGAGGGAGUGAAUAUGUUGUUUUCAAACUUUGAUGAUCUUUUGUGGAAAUUAGCUAAUAGCUAAGUAAAGAUCACUGUCGCGACCCGAUCUCGCCGCCCCCUCGAAAUAGUAUCCAAGGAUGGGAAAGGUCGGGUUUAGGGGUACUUUGAUCACUAGAGUUCCCUCAUGGCUUGCAUUCCAAACAACGUCAUCACCUCGCCUUUUGGAUCAAGCCUCUCAUGAGUUCCCUCUACGAGAUCGCGAGCUCUCCCAAGCUCGUACCCCGCGUGACAGCGGAAUGUCGCGAUCCAUACCCACAUAAGCGACACACCUAAAAAAAGGAGUCGAAUGUGGAUAUCGAAUUUAAGGGUACUUUUACCAUGGUAGCCCUCUCGAUAGUACGCUCCACCCAUUAGGAUGGCAUCACUUCAUCCUUUGGGCUACCCCCACAUCGAGUAUGCUAAACCAUAGUGAGUUUCAUCGAAACUCAUACCCCGCGUGACAACGGAUUUAUUUAUACGAUCUACUUAUUUAUAACAACCUAAAAAUAGACAGGAGUCGCCACUAGCCUCAACUUUGGGGGUCGGCUAGAAACCCAAUCGAGGGUCGGGAGUGUCCCCUCGAUUCCUACGCAACCAGAUAUCCAGGUUCGGGGACUUGGGUUACGCUAAUAUUGCUAUUAACGCCCUUUCGGUACCUAAACAGUAUGUUGUGUUUUUCCUAACAUGUUCAUGCGUUUUCUUUUACAUUUUUUUAGGAUCAUCAAUUCCUAGACUAAGUGAUCAUGCGUAGCAGAUUACUUUCAUUCUAUUCUAUUUCUAAAAAAAAGAAUAGAAAACAAUCAAUGAAAUUGAAAGCACAAGACAUGAAGUAAACAAUCAAUAGAAAACAGUAAACCUAAUUAUGCAAUUCUAAAGAAUAUAAAAGAGAAAACAAUCGAGAAAGAAAGGAAACCCGCAACUUGUCGAGCUUUAUACAAUGCAUAAAACCCGAGACAUAUGUCGGGAAAACAAAAAGUACAUGACAAUGGUCGGAAUGGACAUCGACCUCCACCACCUUCAUGCCUUCUCCAUCCUCAAGGUCCUAAUCUAAACCUAAUCUAAGAAAUUUAUGACUAGGUGCAUACAAAUAAAAGAAACAAUCAAACACAUCAAGCAACCAAAAACAAUACAUCAUAUCAAAAUCAAUUGUUUAAAAGAAGUUCAAUACGAAGUCAAGUUUCGAGUGAUAUCCUAAAGUUCAGCAUUAAUAUGUGUCGCACCAAAAUCAUUUAUCAAAUGAUUACAUGCAAAGCAUAUAAUAUGACAUACAUCCAAGUCAUAUAACUUUGGUUCUCAGUUAACCAAACAAGUGAAUUUGGUGAUAAAAAAUCAUUCACCAAACAAUACGCAUCAUCAAGCGUGUUCAUGCUACAUGUAUGUCCAUCUAAUCAAUGCUUAAUCCACAACUUCCAGCAUGCAAUCAAUGUUGUAACAGAACACGUGAGACUAUAAAUUGUAAUUGUUUGAUGACAAAUUGCCAUGAAAUUGAAGUCAUGUCUUGCCACAAGCACGUAUGAAUUUUCUUGAUCAAAAUGGCAUCAAUUAAUAACCAAACUAACCUCAAGUUAGAAUCAAAUGCACACCCAAUCAUGGUAACAAUUUUCAUGAGGAAGCUUCUCAAAAUUUUAACACGUGAAUUUCUAAAAAUUCAAGAGCAUGAAGAGGUCAAUCAAAAAUAGAACAUGAUAGCAUGUCACACCGUCACUCUACAACAAUAUUAAAAGCAAUUGGACAAAUCUACUAUCUUAUCUUUAAAACUAACAGCAAUUAGCCACAGAAAAGACAGCGUUUCUAAUCAAAUCAACUCCAAAGAAUUCUAUAUAUUGUAACCCAAAGGCAUUUCAUAAAGCACCCAUUUAUGAUCUAAAUUCUACUCCAUUUAAAUCAGUUCCUCACCAAGCAUGAUUAACAUCCUAUCAAGACAACCAGCUUUUAUCAAUUCAUUUUGCACAGAAGGUCAUCCGAAACAGAGAAACAAAUAAUUUGGCAGAUUCUGGACCUAACUUUGGACAGGCAAAAACCAUAUUAAAUGAAGUUCGAUUAGGGCAUUUUAUAGAUCAUUGGAAAGAUAAUCGAACCAUCUUCAACCUAUAUGAAGACUUCGAACACAGACAACCACAGCAACCCGCUCAUCUAACGUCAUUUUGCACAGAAGGUCAGAUCAGAACACAGAACACAAUAAACAACACAGGUUCAGUAACAAUGGCACAAUGAGUGGCAUCAGAUCUAUAUGCUCGGUAAAUCAACUUCUAAAAAGUGUUUCAUAUCAACACGUUUUCAGAUUUGACAUUAUCAUGAUCUAUUUCUCGCUCAUGCUUUUGAGGUAUUUCAUCAAACACUUCACGUACAACAAAACGAUUAAUUCAAGCUAUGGAACGAGACUGAAGCUAUGUUCUCAUCUAACAUUCUGAAAUCAAUAUUAAAAUCACAGAGCCAUCACAAGUCAUCUUAGUUACAGCUCAGAUCUUAAGUGAAUCACACCUGAACUACAUGAACGUGAUUCUUCUACAAAUCUUUUUGCCACAGAGCAGGAGAGAGGGGAAUGAGUUUACCUGGUUUAUCAGUGAUACGGAUACUGAUUGAGCCAGGGACAGAGCUGAGCCGAGACUUCCAACUCGGCGUGAACCCGAAUCACGAUCGAGCGAGCUCGAUCUAGAGAGAAAAAUCGGUCAAGCGUUGUUGUCGUCGCAACUGUCACCGAUCCUUGUCCCAAACCGAGAGAGAAAUAUGCUGAGGGAGAGAUUCUCUGGUUUCCACCCCUUCGACAAGAGCUCGGGUGGUUGAUGAUGAACGGAAAAGGUUGAAUCAAUGGUGGAAUCGAAAAAUUAGGGCUCACGGCCGAGGAGGGGCUCGAGCUGAGGGCACGCGCACGGCAGAUUCGCUCCGCGACGGUGGCGACGACUUCUCGACCUCGCUGCUGGGUGAUUCCCUUGCUCCNNNNNNNNNNNNNNNNNNNNNNNNNNNNNNNNNNNNNNNNNNNNNNNNNNNNNNNNNNNNNNNNNNNNNNNNNNNNNNNNNNNNNNNNNNNNNNNNNNNNNNNNNNNNNNNNNNNNNNNNNNNNNGGAGCUGGAAGCGAUCGUUGAGGGAGAGAUCAGAGCCAUGGCUGGCCCUGGAGGAUCUCGUCGGCCUCCGAGAUCGGGAAGAAAUCCAGAGAGAGAGGAGGUUGUUACGGCGGAAUAGAGGGAGUCCCCCCAAUCCGUUCUUGGCCUUUUGCCAGAGAACGGGAACCAGCCGAGAGAGAGGAUCCGCGCGCCCCAAAAUUUUUUUUUUAGAGAGAGAGAGAGCCCGUGUGAGGAGAGAGAAAGAGAGCGUGUGAGGAGAGAGCCCUCUCCCUGCGAACCCCCAAAACGAUCGUCAAAAUGGCCCCCUUUUCUAUUAUUUUUUCUUUCUUUUAUUUUUUUCUUUUUCUCUCUUUUUUCUUUUUUGUUUCCUUUUUGUUUUCUUUUUCUUGUUUUCAUUCUUUUUCUCUUUUCUUUUCUUCUUCGGCUCUUUAUUUCUCUCUUUUUUUCUUUUUCUUUUCUUCUUUUUUUUUUUUCUUUUCUUCCUUAUUUCUAAUUUUUUUUAUCUUUUCAUUUCAAACAAUUUUUUUUACUUUUGCAAAUUAUUGUUUAAAAUGUCGACGAAAAUUUCGGGUGUCAACAAUCAUCAUGAGCUGAUAUUUAACCAAACUCACACUAACCGUAUGCCAAUAUGAAUGAGAAGAUGAAAAAUAGCGGGACACAAAGAGUUAUAGUGGUUUGGCUUUAUUCUCAAACCUAUGUCCACUCUUUAAAUUGAUAGCCUCAAAAUGGGUUGGAUUCCACUAACAAUAUGCUUGAAAAGUUAUAACCGGCUAUCAUCGAUCUUUUAUGUGAUAGAUCACACUAUCUGGACCCAGUUACUACUCUUACACUUGUACAUUUAAUCCGUAGGACAAUUGUUAAAUAGCACGACAAGCAAGUUAGUAAAACAUAGAGAUUUAAUAUGAGAAUAAUAGUAUGUAAGCUACUUGAUCUUUUAUGUGCCGCACUCUCUUGGUUCCUUAAAUCCUUCUCUCUUAUAAUCUUUCUCAAACUAUUCGUUGAGGUUGAUUUAGAGAGAUAGGUGAUCGUUGAAGAGUUUCCAUUGAACUGCUGUCUAGAAAGAUACUGCUGAUACAAUUUCUUUUUUAGGACUCCUGCAAACUGACCAAAAAUGACAACCACUAUUGUCUUCUUACUACAGUUUUUAACUAACUUAUUAGACACUCUAGCUACUCUACUACAUGCUUUAUUUUGAUUAUGCUGCUUUAAGAAUCCAAAUCUUACAAUAGCUCUUUAGCUAAUCCAACGAACAUCAACUAAUGUAGUUGGUUAUCGCAUCACCAUCAACGUGAUCUUUACUGCUCUAAUAUAAACAUCAUUAGUACCUUAUAUUUUUGGUUGACUAGUGUUGUUUGUAAUAAUAGGAGAAUCGGAAACUUUUUCCAAUUGGUCACACCAUGGAUGUUGCAUGGUCCUUUGGUCCAAACAUUUGCAAACAACAUAGUACGUAAUAUAUUAGGGAUAGUUUGAGCAUAAUCAAAAUCUCUUGAAGAUAUUUUGUCCAAUAAGGACUACUUUUCUUUUUGUGGAUGGGGCUAUCCAUUUAUUUCAACACCUUUGAUAAACGAAGAAAUAUAAAAAAUUUAUCGAAUUGUUCUUUCUUGGAUACAUCAUAUUUCACCCAAAAUGAAGCUCUGCUGAAUUCAAGGUCGUCAGGACAUGAGGAUUCGAUUUUUUUUUUUUUUUGAGUGAUUUGAGAUUAGGCCAUGAAGGCCCUCAAUUUUUUAAUACUUGUAUUUAUCAAUGUUGAAAUGAAAAUAAAUAUGCUUCAUAAUAACUGAAUAUUGAAUACCAAAUAAUACCAAUUAACUAAGCAUGAGCACCUUUAAUAAGUUUUUUGCAAAAUAUUUAGCAACAUUCUAUUGUCAAUAAGUAUCUUUUUCUAUUGAAUGAAUAUAAGUGGCCUUCCCUUGCCUAGUGAAUUAGUGAUUUUUUUACUUAAUUAAACCUUUUAAACUUUUUUUUAUUAUGAUAACGGAAUGUCUUUAAUUUUAGUGAGUGCUAAAUAUUUAAGUUUUGAAGACUUAAUUGAGUUAUCAAAAAGCCUACAAAUUUCGAAACUACUCUCCUCGGAUUUACUCUUAGUAAACACCGUUUUAAUGUAUUGUAGCAUGGAUGUAAAUUUUGGUGACUAUACAUAAAAUUUAGAUGCAAACCAGUAAGUUAUUAAUCACCUCGACAAUGAAAUUCAAAUAUUAGAUAUUUUAUGUCGACUUUAGGAAAUUUAAAUAAGAGAUAGUAAUUUCUUUUACCAGUAAAGAAAGAUGGAAUUAGGCGAUCAACAUUUACCCUCUAAAUGUUAGGUCUCACUGUCAUCGUGGAAUAUUAGGUUUUAACCAUAACUUUUCAAUGCAACAGUAAAUAUGCAAACAAAUGGAGCUGGGUUUUUUUUUUCAUAACAUUACUUGAUUAUGAUAAAUCCUUUUAUAUUGGGUUACCUAAUUGGGUGAUAUACGAGAUAAUAUCUCAUUAAUAUGAAAAAUCUGAAUUAUGAAAUGUUUUCUCACAUAUUUAUAAGAUAAAUACCAUAUAUAUUGGACAUUACCAAUCCUAGAUAAUUAUCGUGUAUUUUUUCUUUCAUUUUUUUAUAUAAUUAAUGUUUUCGACGCCAUCAGUUUCUGACCAUGUUCAUCUCCUCCCUCCCGUCCGGUGGCCCUGCUCAAACCGAGAGGCUUACAGAGUUUAGAGAGAGAGAGGGAAGACGAGCUUCGAUGGAGUCAAGUCAACCAUAUCCAAGACUCUCUCUCUCUCUCUCUCUCUCUAUCCUCAUCUCCCUCCUCUCUCAACUCCUUCGUCUUCCCCUCUCGGCUCAUCACCCACAGGCUCCGCUGCAUAUAUGCCGACCGCAUCCGCUCCCCGAGGCUCGCCGAGCCGUCUCCGUCUCCCCUGGCUCCCGAGAGGUUCCGCUUGCGGUGGUAGUGGCGGCGGAGGAGGAGGCGGAGUCGACGGUGAGGAUUGGAUGGUGAAAUCGGUGGUGGAUGGAGCCGAGGAAGCCUCAGGUGUCUCCUCUGAUGUGAUAAUUCUCGACGUCGGAGUAAGCCCCUCUCUCUACGUGAAUGUACGAGCUAAAUCUUUCGUUUUGUCGAUGCUUGUCCAACUUUCCCCGCAUUAUAAUGCUGAAGAUGUUAUUAGGCGGAGCGUAGCAUGUUUCUCUUUUCAGUGUGCGGCCACUUGAGUGGCUCUGUUUCGUCUCUGCAGGGAAUGACUUGUGGGGGAUGUGCAGCGGGUAUGAAGAGAAUUUUGGAAAAUCAAGUGAGUUUGCCACUCUGCUUUUGUCUUUCUUGUAAGCCAUCUUUCGUAUGAAAAGAAUCGUCAUCGACUUGAAUUAAACCAAGUGUGAGAACUAUCAUUUUCUGAAUGUGAUUUGAACCCAACGUGUUCUCUCUUUUUUUCUGCUCUAGCAUUGGACAGCCUCAAGUAUCUGCUGCCAGCGUAAAUCUUACUACUGGGACAUCUAUUGUGUGGCCUGUAUCUGAAGCCAAGGCUAUGCCUAAUUGGCAAAAAAGUUGACAAAUUGUGGCUUUAAGUCUAACCCUUGAGGUAAGCGGUUUUAUUCACCAUCAGCUUGUUGCAGUUGAAUGGGGUGUGGCUGACAUUCGUGAAUAUCAUUGCCGCAUAUAAUGUACCUUUUAUCACAGAUUGUCUGUGUCGAAGACUCCAUCUACUAGUUGGAAGUACAAGUUUUUAUAACUGUAAUUUUCCCUGUCAUAUAAUACAAACUAACUCUGAGAAGAAUAUUUUUAAUGCUGGGGGUGGUUGACAAGUUCUCUGAAUGCUCUCAUGGAUUUGGUUUUGUGACUUUUGAUGAGAAGCAAGCAAUGGGUGAGGCUAUUGAGGCUAUGAAUGGGAUGGACUUGGAAGGGAGAAAUAUAACUGACGAAAAAGCUUGGCCUCAAGGUUCAGGUAGAGACCAAGAUGGUGAUUGCAGUUCUGAUUGUGGCCCUAAUAGGGAUGGUGGUACUCAAGGAGGAUCAGGAAAUGACUGCUAAAUCAGGACCGUUCUGGUCCCUAGGAGCAUCGUGGUACAGGAAACUUCCGUUCAGGUUAGAAAGAAUAUUCCUGAUAAGUAUGUGCACAGGUUUUUUUCAGAUAUAUUAAAGCAGUUGAUGCUGUGCUGAUUGAAAAAUAUUUUGUGCUUGUAGCAGCGCAAUUGGAGGUACUGCUGUUACUUGCUGGAGCCAAAGUCCCUUCUGUUGCAUCUCUUUUUUAUUGUUCUCUGGGUGGACAAAUCUGCUUGAUCAGUCUUUUGAUGUGUGAACUUUGGCUAAAAGAUUCAACUGUUUAAUGUCCGUGAAUGCUCGUUUUGAUAUUUUGGUCUGACGACAUUGCUUGCUUGACUUAAACAAUCAAAUUUGGCCUUACUCUGUCAAGGCUACGAUGGGUAGUGGAUUCUCUUUUGCUUACAAGCUUUAGCAAUUGCAAAUGCAUCUGAGAUUGAUCUUGGUUGACUUCUUCAUUGGCAAUUGCAACUGUGGAGUGUGGACAGCUUUCUGGUGUCUAGAUGGCUCUUUUGAGGAUAGGGCAAGAGAUUCACCUGUGGAAAUAAUGCGUUCUCUCUUUGCAAAAGAGAAGCUGCCUUAGAUAUGAAUGCCUCUUUUGGCUAUGAUUUUUCAAAAGUCUUAACUUUUUGAAGAGGAGUUAAGCAGGUAAAUGCUAUCUUUUAUACACAUUUAAUAUGUGAGCUUCCUGUCCAUAGUCUGCACUAUAUUAACUCUGCUAAGCUUUCGGCAGUAUUCUUGGCUGUUUGUGGUGUUUUGAUACACGGUCCUGUUACUUUCUUGUCAUAGGACGUGGUUUUAGUCUUAAAAAUUCUGAAUAGUUCUUUUGUCCUCAGGAAGCUAUUACUUUCUGCAAUUAACUCUGUAAAAUUCCAUCUCACCUUCCACACAUUGUACUGAUGGAUGAGUUCUUUCUCAGUAAAACGUGAUCUUUUGGAAGCUUUGGUGAGCAUGUCAAUUUGAUUUGCAUUGUCUUCUUCCUAGCGAUCUCCUGUCUGUUGUCAUCAUCUUCAGUGGAAGAUAUCUGGUCUCUGUCUCCUCCAUUUGCAUGGUGCUUCUAUCUUGUUAGGUUUCCUGGAUAAGUUACCCUUUCAGGUGUAAUGAUGGCUCUUCCUUUGAACUGGCAAUGUUCCUAAUAAACACAUGGUUCUUUUCGCUUGGGCAGCUGUGCGUGCAUUGACUUGCAUUUCUGCUCAAAUGAUCUUCGCUACACACUUUCAGCCAAUCAUUUGUGAUUAAUCAUGUAUCUUCCCCCUUAUUCUUUUAGAAGUUGUGCUUGCUCCAUCUAAAAUUGGUACUGGGUUUGAUACUCUCGGAAUAAGAAAAAACCGGAUAUGACCAUCUCCUUUUCAGUUUUUCUCUGUAGUUACUUGGUUAAGGUUAUUGUGCAUUCUUAAAUAUGGCUCUGUAAAUGAAUAUUUUCUUUUCCAGUUGAUUGUCAAAAUUUUUGGAGAUCAAAUUGGCAAUAUAUGCUCAGCAGGGAAGAGUGAACUAUUCUUGUUAGAAUCAGGGAGGAAUUUUAUCAAAGUAUUGGUUAAUUUUCAAGUAGAGUUUGACAGUAGAUUCUAUCAAUUUUCUGUUAGUCUAUGCGACUUUCUUUAUAUAGUUAUUUCUUCAAUCUCAGAAUUAGUCACAUGCAUAACUUGAUACCUAAUGUCAAGGACUUUCUUAGUAGAUUUUUCAUAAUUUCAAAAUCAUUCCAGAGCCCCAAAAAGAAAAAAAGGAAGCUGAAAUAGGAAACCCCAAGGAUCUUAAUCAUCAAAUUACAAAGUGAAAAAAUGUCAUUGGAGCGCGGUGACCAAAUCACCAUAUGAGUUAUAAUAACUCCACAAUAGGAAAUAAAAACCAUAGAAGACCACGAAAUCACAUUUUUAAAAAUUCGAGACUAGGAAUUUAAUCAUGUAGAGUUCAUACUUGGAGGGAAAAGCUUGUGUGCUAGUUCUGUUAGCGAAGUCUUGUUCUGUUGAUGGACGAGGAGAUCAUACUAGUAUGCAUGGACUGCAUUUUCAUCUGGUGCUGAAACAUCAUCAUCAUAAGCCCUAUGUCUUCAGUCUCAUCUCCUCCGUUAUCCAUCGAUGCUUCCAUUGCUUCAUCCUCUACACAGUCCAAGUGUGUGCCAUAAUCGCAGUCUGUGCAAUGGUAGCACCAGCAUCCCUUGGCGAUGCUCUCCUGGCACAUGUCAGAUCAGGCUCUAUUCUUGCGUCUGGGAAAGCACAAUGUGAGGGUGCUCGUGGUCCUUGCGCUUUGCCCUUGUCACCAAGUCGGUGCACUCCGCAUAGAGAUCGUACCGGUGGAUCGAGCAGUUGUAGGAGGAUGUGUCCCCGUCGUCCCCACAUGCAUUACAUGUGAACUCUCUCCCCUCGUAAGGUGGCGAGGGGAGGAAAUGAAGUGGGCGCUCGGGGUGCAACUCAUGAUGAAAAGUUCUUAUCGGUUGUCGCUGUCCACCGCUGUCUGGUAAUGCCGUUGAUACUUUGAUAGACCCAUGUUAUUGGGUUGCUGGGACAACGGUGCCCUGAAGGUUGGUGUAGGGGUGUUGGUAGCAGGGGAUUGGUGCUCUUCGAUAGCCUCCGCAUUUGGUUGCUUUGCCAACAUCCCGAAGCUCGAUGGCCUGGCGAUGUCCUGAGCCGGUGAUUGGUGCUCGAGGUAGGAGGAGAAGAGUCAGGCCGUAUAGCUCACGUGUGGGAGAAUGAUCUCCCGAGGCGGGAGAGGGUUGUUGGUACAAUGGGCAUGAAGGUCGAAGUUGCACGGUGCACAAGAGUAAGAGACGCCGGUGCAAGGGUGGCAAGGGCAGCAGAGGAAGGAGGCAGAGGGGUAGGUUGGGGAGGACAUUAGGGUGAGGGGGGUGGAAAUGGUGGUGGACAGGGCGCUUCGCAUGGAAGCAGUGCAAAUGAAGGAAGUAGCUGCACUAGAUGCAGGCGAAGGCGUCCAAUGGCGCUUCGACCUGGGAUUCGCAUUCGAAGUAUUGAAUCGGAUGGUCAAGCCCUUAUUGAAAGGGUUGGAAAAGGAUCAGAUUGGGUGGAUGGCUGAAAUGCUUGUGUGACUCCAUCCAUGAAUUAGGCUAUGUGUGUGUGAAAGAGCGAAGGGAGGGAGGAAGGUUGGCUUAUGAAUUCCACUGGGAACUGCUCAUAUAGGCAGGAAAUACUGGAUGUCCAGGAAUCAAUGGAAAAACAUUCAAUAUGCUCUAAAUGAUUACAAUAUACAAAACUUACGUAAAAACAUGUGUUUUUCAGUUGAUUACAAUGUGAAUUUUAUCAUGUCUUGAUCUGUGAUUGGCACAAUAUAUUACACUAACCCCAUAUAAUACUCUCAGCAAAUUACUAAAAAAGUCAUAAAUCUAUUGGAUGAAGGUCAAUUGUGUUAUAAAUCUUUCAAUUUUGCCAAUUUAGUCAUAAGUAUUUUGACAAUUUGCAAUGAAGUUUUUCCAACCAAAUAUGACUAGAAAAUCAAUAAGGUGAAUGCCAGCUAUCCCGUGACACGACUGGUAUUGACGUGGACAACGUUUGUAAUUUUUUUUUUUUUAAAUGUUUUGAAUUUUGUUUUUCUUUGUUGGGAUUCUAGCUAGUAGGGCCCUUGUAAUGACCGGUGAUGCCCUCGUCGGCCACAAGCAAGCACCUGCGUGCCCUCACUAGCCACAAGCGAGUGCCUUUGGGCCCUUAUUGAUUGCAAGUGAGGGAGUCACAUCCCUCCCCUGUGGCCAAUGAGGGUCAACCGGCAGCCUCACCGGCUCAAAGUUGGAAAAAAAAAAAGAAAAAGAAAAGAAAAGAAAAGAAGAGAACAUAAAAGAAAAAAAAAUUAAAAAAGCUAUCCACAUAAGCACCAACCAUGCUAGAAUAGCCAGCGUCUACGUUAGCGAUUUCCGGUCAAUUCAUUAGUGAUCGCCAUGUUUAGAACUAAAUUGACCAAGUAAUGUUAAUCUUAUUCCUUUUUUGGUGCAUUAAAGGGAAGUGCAUCCAACAUGACAACCUAUGACAUUACCUAGUAUAUAACAUCCUCUCUCUCUCUCUCUCUCUCUCUCUCUCUCUCUCUCUCUCUCUCUCUCUCUCUCUCUCUCUCUCUCUCUCUCUCUCUCUCUCUCUCUCUCUCUCUCUCUCUCUCUCUCUCUCACCUGCUUGAUGUGGUCGUGGAAAUCAUAGGCCAUGUUGAUCUCUUCUCACCUGCUCUCUCUGUCUCUGGAAAUCACACGCCGCGCGCUCUCUCUCUCUUCUUCAAGUUCAUGCUCAUGCAUGUUGGCAGAGUAGAGAGCUCUCUCUCUAUAUACACACAUGGUUAUUCCUUGUGAUCGCGCUACACUACAAAUUCAUAAAAAUCGUCCAUUUUUUUUUUUUUUUGCAUCAUGUGCCCUUACGUAAAGGGCAAGUCAAGUUGUUUCUUCUUCCACGUAUGCUUUACUAAAAUGGUUAAAUUAUACUUUCGAUCCCUGAACUUGAGAGCAAUUUUUUUCUCCAAUCAAAUGCUCCUCAACUUUUAGCUUGUUUCAUCAAGUUAUGAACUUGUAUAGCUUUUCUAAUCAAGUCUCUUCAGCUUCAAAUAUAGUUAAUCGGAUCCGACGCAUCUUUUUCCAUAAACUAUCACAUCUUUCUCUUGUCUAUUUUCAUCACCUACAUAUUCCUUCUAUUCUCAAUCUUUCUUUGACACGCUGUUAGGUUUAACCGUCUCAUUUUUGGUACAAUUGCAGAUGAGUUGAACUAUCAGGAGGAAUCUAUUAAAUUUUGCUAAAUAAAGGGACCAUUCAUUGAAUAGUCUCACGCCCUAGUAUUCCUUUGUCUUUUUAUAACAAUGAGAUGUCUGGGGCAGAGCACUCGACUAAUUAUUACUGGGUAUUGUGGUCCUUCAUUCCCCACACAUCAUGCGUAAUCACCGAAAAUACAAGGAUCUGUGCACGUAGGGGCUCGAGAGAAAAGUGCAAGUGUGAUGAUUUGAACUCAUGUCAUGAGUGAAAAAGAGACACGAAUUCACCACUUAAGCAACCCCUUGGAUUUAAAUCUGGAGAUUAUUCUAAAUUGAAUGAAUAUGAGACAUGACAAAGUCUAAAACGGUUAUCACUGCAUGUGAGACAUAUAUGAAUACACGGACAAUAUUUUAGCAUAAUAUUUAGUUGGUUCUUUUCAUCAUUUUAAUUCUACAAUAUAGGAGUGAUUUUUACAACUCUAUAUAAUGAGCCGUGUGAAUCUAAUUCUAGUAAAAAUUAUAUAUAUUUACUUGUAGGUCUUGUUCAUCAAUGUAAUUAUAGCCUCCUAUUAGGGAAGUGUUUUACUUCCUAUUGGUGGACAAGUUGGGCUUGAAGAAUAUGCCGGAACUCUGGUCUGCACACACGAACACGGGUUGAAGUGUUCGAAUAUUUUAUCUAGAUUCGUGCUCCAAUAUUUAAAUUAGGUAGGGAAGAAUAUGUGCAGAUACUGAGCUUAAAAGGAAGAUGAUAACCUAAAUACUAUAAACUUUACUUGAGUCCCUUGGCAGUAUUUAUAGACAAGCUUACCCUGGCGGGUGAAUGGUCGCUAACAUAGGUGAUGGCUUGCUUGGACACGUGAGGACUUUGACAUGCCAGGUGGGUCACUGACAAUUUUACAAAUGGGUGGAAAUUAGUCUAUGAUAUUUGAGCCCAACUCUUUAUGAGGUCUAUAGGGAUUUGCACAAGACCCAUAUUCGACCCAUUUAGUUUAUCAGCUCCAACCCAUAAUUUGAGAUGAAGAAACUUCUUCUGCUGCAAGAAGAGCACACUUGGCUAUUAUAUCCUACGUCACGAACACUUCUGACUCUUGCAAGUUAAGUCUUAAAGAGUUGAUAAUUGGAAAAUAUAAUUGAAAGGACGAAACAAAAAAGUUUAAUGUAUGUUAUUCACAAGAUAAAAGGAAAAAUAAUAGUGUUAUACUUAAGUGAACCUUAAAACCUUAAAAGGUCAUGUUAGCAUCGAAAUCAAUGCUUGAACGAGAUUCAUAAUUUAUAGAAGGACUUUUACCACCACCUUCACACUUCCAUCCAUAACUGACGCUCAAGCUCCCUCACUAACCCGACCAGUCAGUCCAUGGAGCUGCCACAAUUUAGAAAAAAAAAAUAUUAAAAAUAGAUCAUGAUCGGGUUGGGCACAGGUUGUUGAAUAUAUACUUUAUGUAAAUUAAUCAAUUUUGGCUGAAUAUUUUCGACUUAACCCAAAAAACCCAUUUGACGGGUGUACAUAGACCAAUGGGCACUGGAAUUUAGAGUAGCGGACAAACCAUUGCUCCCCCUAGUGGAUUUAUGCAAGGUGGUGGUCUUGCCGAGGGACAACCUGUCAAGUGCGAUGGAUGUGCCUCAUUGUCAAAGGCUCACCUUGACCCAUUGGACAAGGCAUGUAACAUGUUGGAUCAUGUAAGGACAUGUAGUGUGGGUCCGAUAAUGAGCUAAAUCCGGAAUUGGGUUUUUUUUUAAUCAUCCCACAUCAUGUGUUAUCAGGAAAUAAGAGCAAGUUGAAUAGAUGAAACAGAUCGACGCUCCUACGACUUUUCACAUGUGAGCUGUCUCGCUCACGCCACUGUCAAAAGAAGAAGCAGGAUCAUUGACUUGACCGAAACUCUCGCACUUCUUCAAUGAAAUGCAUCUGUCAACUGCACCUUGUUUACAUUUCUAACUAGCUAUAUACCUGCGGAUUUAAAUACGUACCGAGUCUUUUUACAAUUACAAAGAAUAUUUUAAAUAAAAAUAUGAUUGUCUUAAUAUAAUAGUGUGGACUUUUUUAUCAUCAUUAAUUAGUGUGAAAAUUCAAGAGAGAUAGAUUUCGGCAUAAUGUUGCCUUGAGGAAAGUUUUAUUAUAUUGAGAGCUAUAUAAAUCUUUGUAUAAAGGAACCAAUAUGUAAUACAUAGAAUAAUUAAUAAAAAGAAAUAGUAUAUUUUCAUAAUCUAGGUCUAUCAAUUCUAAUCCUCGAUUGAUUAAUUUAUCACUAUGAAGAUUCAAGAGAGACAUCUCUUGGAUGAUCUUCCUUGGAGAGGAAGUUGCAAUGAUUCUUGGGUGAUUCAUUAUUCCUCUUAGCUGACAAUGUUUCCUUUGACAGUUAGUAUCAUCCAUAAGCAUUUAAGGUGUAAAAUAUAAUUUUCAUAUUAAUAUAAUAAGUUGGUCCGACAUCGAUCUAGAAAGUAGUAUUUUUGAAAGGGAUCCUUCUUCACCAUAGCGGAGAUUUUCCUCUUUUGUUCGGUAUAAGCACUAUUUCGAACUUUAAAAUAACAAACGAUAUUAUGACCGCAUAAGGUAGGACAUUACAGAUGUAUGAAUUUCAUUUUGCAAUAUUCUACGAUUUCUUAAAUAUUGUGCGGAGAAAUGGAUUGUCUCAUCGUAACAUUGUAAAUUAUAGAAAAGAUCAUUUCAAAUACUUGACUCCCCUUGCAACUUUGACCUUUCCCUAUGUUUAUCAUUUCACACUCUCUGCAACAAAAUGCUGACAUAACAAUUUCAUCGAGCCUGGACUUUGUUAACUUUAGUUUCAAUGUGAUUGGGAAGAAGAUAUUUUCUUGAAACUCACGCUAAUUAUAAUCCAUGUACCAUAAAGUCAAAAAUUUUAUAUUCACGGAAAAGACUAAAGUCCUCGCCCUUACUAGACGGCACGGGCCAAUUAGAGAUUCAAAGGCAGAUUGUAGCCUCGUAGGAUAAGGACACAAAUGAUAAUGAACAAAAGUAGGCCAGAUGGUGUUUUCGCUUUCAUUGAUUGGUUUUAUCGUCAAUAGUUUCCUUGCAAAGUGCAACUCACAGCCUUGUAAUGUUUCUCAAAUUGAGAGGUCUAUAAAAGAUCUGUCAUCACUAUUCUUGCAUUGACGACAUCCACAUGCCUUCAUAUCAAAGAUCAUGUUGCCUGUUGAUAUAUUUUGCCAAUUGUCUCUAAACAACGUUGCACGCGUACCUUAAGAGACUCAAGUUGAGAAUGCUUUUACUAAUCCUCAUGGACCUUUUCUAUAGAGAUAAGUUACAUUUGAUUGUUUGGAUUUCUAAUUAGAAUAUGAUUGAAUAUGAUAAAAUAUGAAAUCUAAGGUUUUUGCUGACAUAACAAUUUCGUCGAGCCUGGACUUUGUUAAUUUUAGUCUCAAUGUGAUCAGGAAGAAGAUAUUUUCUCGAAACUCACGCUAAUUAUGUUCCAUGUACCGGAAAGUCAAAGAUUUUAUAUUCACGGAAAAUACUAAAGUCCUUGCCCUUACUAGACGGCACGGGCCAACUAGAGAUUCAAAGGUAGAUUGUAGCCUUGUAGGAUAAGGACCCAAAUGAUAAUGAACAAAAGUAGGCCAGAUGGUGUUUUGGCUUUCAUUGAUUGACUUUACCGUCAAUAGUUUCCUUGCAAAGUGCAACUCACAGCCUGGACUUUGUUAAUUUUAGUCUCAAUGUGAUUGGGAAGAAGAUAUUUUCUCGAAACUCACGCUAAUUAUGUUCCAUGUACGGGAAAGUCAAAGAUUUUAUAUUCACGGAAAAGACUAAAGUCCUUGUCCUUACUAGACAGCACGGGCCAACUAGAGAUUCAAAGGUAGAUUGUAGCCUUGUAGGAUAAGGACCCAAAUGAUAAUGAACUAAAGUAGGACAGAUGGUGUUUUGGCUUUCAUUGAUUGACUUUAUCCUCAAUAGUUUCCUUGCAAAGUGCAACUCACAGCCUUAUAAUGUUCUCAACUUGAGAGGUCUAUAAAAGAUCUGUCAUGACUAUUCUUGCACCGACGACAUCCACAUGCCUUCAUAUCAAAGAUCAUGUUGCCUGUUGAUAUAUUUUGCCAAUUGUCUCUAAACAACAUUGCACGCAUACCUUAAGAGACUCAAGUUGAGAAUGCUUUUACGAAUCCUCGUGGACCUUUUAUAUAGAGAUAAGUUACAUUCGGUCAUUUGGAUUUCUAAUUAGAAUAGGAUUGAAUAUGAUAAAAUAUGAAAUCUAGGGUUUUUGUUGACAUAACAAUUUCAUUGAGCCUGGACUUUGUUAAUUUUAGUCUCAAUGUGAUUGGGAAGAAGAUAUUUUCUUGAAACUCAUGCUAAUUAUGUGCCAUGUACCGGAAAGUCAAAGAUUUUAUAUUCACGGAAAAGACUAAAGUCCUCGCCCUUACUAGACGGCACGGGCCAAUUAGAGAUUCAAAGGUAGAUUGUAGCCUUGUAGGAUAAGGACACAAAUGAUAAUGAACAAAAGUAGGCUAGAUGGUGUUUUGGCUUUCAUUGAUUGACUUUAUCGUCAAUAGUUUCCUUUCAAAGUGCAACUCACAGCCUUGUAAUGUUCUCAACUUGAGAGGUCUAUAAAAGAUCCGUCAUGACUAUUCUUGCAUUGACGACAUCCACAUGUCUUCAUAUCAAAAGAUCAUGUUGCCUGUUGAUAUAUUUUGCCAAUUGUCUCUAAACAAUGUCGCACACAUACCUUAAGAGACUCAAGUUGAGAAUGCAUUUACUAAUCCUUAUGAACUUUUCCUAUAGAGAUAGUUACAUUUGGUCAUUUGGAUUUCUAAUUAGAAUAUGAUUGAAUAAGAUAAAAUAUGAAAUCUAGGGUUUUUGCUAUAUCAUAUCCACUCUGUAGAGAUUUCAGUAAUAAAAUCAAAUAUAUUAACAUCAUAUCAUACAUAUUAUUUGGUAUAAACGGUACAUCAGUAUAAAUAGAUCUAAACAUAACUGGAGAUAGUAAAAAUCUCUCACGACACUUUUGCUUACUUUAUUUUUAUUUUACUUUCCUCUCUUUUUUAGUUAAUUUUUUCCCUUCCAUCAUUCUUUAAUAAUAUUUUACUAAAUAAUAAACUGAACUAAUAUAUCUAAAAUACUAAAAUUCCUAAAAUAUUCCAAAAUGUAUCAUUUGUAGUAAAGAUAUAUAUUAUAACUGAUAAAUGAGAGUAAAGUUGAUUAUAAAUUGCGAGAAAAACCUACUUACAUGUACGGUCAAUACUGUUCUGUUUAUGAGUAUUGGAAAAUCAAAAUGAUAUACGUGUGGAAAAAGACUGAAGGCAUCACCCCCUACUGAACGGCCCGGUAAUUCAGGGAUUGUAAAAGACACAAUUGACAAUGGAAAAAAAAGUAGGCCACCGUGGUGUUUUCAGCUUUCAUUGACCGACCUUAUCACCGGCUAUCAACUUGCAUGUCACGGCCUUGUAAUUUUCUCAUUUUGAGAAAAGGAUAAAAAUUUCUGUCGUGACUAUUCUUGCAUUUGAUGAUAUCAUCAUGUCUUAGUAUGGUAGAACAUAUCGUCCGCUAGUAUAUAUUCACGAAUUGUUUCGUAACAACGUCAAGAGAGAACCAAAAAGAGUCGAGUUGAGAGCAUUUUGCUACAAAUCCUCGUGGACCUUGCCUAUAGAUAUCAGCUUUUGCCCAUGUCAUUCUCAUGCCUAACUACCAUCAUUCUUCUAUUAGGGAGUCUCCUAGCUUUAGCAAAAGAUGGCCAAGAUGAGAUUGAUCAAUUGGCUUUAUUAGAAUUCAAGGCUCGAAUAGCCGAUCCUAGUGGGGUUUUGAGCUCGUGGAAUGAUUCUAGCCACUUUUGCAAUUGGUACGGUGUCACAUGCGGUCACAAACACCGAAGAGUCACUGUACUAGACCUUGGCUCCAAGAACUUAUCCGGGGUCGUGUCGGCCCAUAUUGGUAAUUUGAGCUUUCUGAGGGGAGUCAAUCUGGAGAAUAACAGUUUUCAUGCCGAAAUUCCCCUACAUUUUGGCCGCUUGCUUCGAUUGCAGAAAUUGUUCCUUAAUAACAACUCGUUCAGUGGUCAGAUCCCUUCGAAUCUCUCCUAUUGCUCUAAUUUGCUCAUUCUUAACUUAGACUUGAACAUGCUCAAAGGAAAUUUGCCGACAGAACUAGGCUCAUUGUCCAAGCUCCGAGGACUUACACUUCAAGCCAACAGCUUGAUGGGAAACAUCCCGCCGUCUAUUGGAAACUUAUCAUCUCUUCGAAAGUUUGGAAUAACGCGGAAUAACUUCGAUGGGACGAUCCCAGAGACUCUUGGCCAGCUGAGAAAUCUAAAGAUCCUCUAUCUCGCCAGAAAUAAAUUUUUCGGUACAAUUCCUAUCUCAAUCUUCAAUAUAUCUGCUCGGGCAUGGCUUGGUGUAGGUGAAAACCAAUUAGAAGGGGGUUUACCUAGCGACUUAGGCUUCACUCUUCCAAAUAUCGAGAUUAUCAAUACGUAUCAGAACCACCUCACUGGACCCAUUCCCCAGUCAAUAUCCAACGCCUCUAACCUCAAGCUAAUCCAAAUCAAUGAGAACAAUUUUACUGGGAAAGUUCCUUCUUUUUCAAAGAUAAGAGGACUCUGGUGGUUUAGUAUUGGCCGCAACAACUUAGGAGGUGAGCAAUCUACUGAUUUGGACUUCCUCUGCUCUUUAACCAAUUCCACAAAAUUGGAACUUUUGGGCAUAGCGGAAAAUGCUUUUCAAGGACUAAUACCCGAUUGUAUCAGUAACCUCUCAAUCACCCUUUCUUGGUUUGGGUUAGCAUACAACCAUAUUUCUGGAACCUUACCUUCCGGAAUCGGAAAUCUCAUCAAUUUGGAGGAUUUGCGAAUGCAGGGCAAUAACAUCUUGGGAAACAUUCCUUUUGAGAUCGGAAAUUUGAACAAAUUGAAGCUUUUGGAUCUCGGCCAAAAUAAAUUAUUGGGGCAAAUACCGGAAUCGUUUGGGAAUUUAAGGAUGUUAAUUGAAUUGUACUUAGACAGCAAUAAUUUCCAAGGCUCGAUACCAUCGUCUCUAAAAAAUUGCCAAAAUCUACUUCUCUUGAACCUUUCGACCAACAACCUCAGCGGUUACAUGCCCAAGGAGAUUAUGGGCCUCUCAUCUUUGUCGAUUUGCCUUGACUUGUCUCGAAAUAGUCUUACUGGCUCCCUUCCAGAAGAAAUUGGAAAAUUGCAAAAUCUCGGUGAACUACGUCUUGACGGGAACAGAUUAUCUCAACAGAUUCCAAGCAGUAUAGGUAGUUGCAUAAGCAUGGAACGCCUAUAUGUACAAGAUAAUUUCUUUGAAGGGCCCCUACCAUCACUUAUGAGUUCCAUGCGAGGCCUUCAAGUUUUGAAUGUUUCCAACAACCAAUUGUCUGGCCAAAUCCCAAAAUUUCUAGAGUUGCUAAAUCUUACAAGUUUGAGCCUAUCUUACAAUGAUUUCGAGGGUGCAUUACCUACAGAAGGAGUUUUUAGAAGUGCCAUUUCAACUACAGUUGUUGGAAACAAGAAGCUUUGCGGGGGUCUCCCAGAUUUUCAACUACCGAAAUGCUACUACAAAGAGUCAAAACGGAUGAGAAUAAGCGGAACUGCAAAAAUUCUUAUAUCUACAGUCUCUGCUCUUGUUGGAGUAGCUUGCAUACUGUCUUUGUUAUACUUCUUCUGGUUUGGACACAAUAAGAACACAUCAGCUUCAAGCUCUUCUGAAGAUGGGUUUUUGCAUGUUUCUUAUCACGAUCUACUAAAAGCGACAGGUGGAUUCUCCCCCACCAAUUUGCUUGGCGUCGGAAGUUUUGGGUCCAUGUACAGAGGGUUGCUUGAUCAAACUCAGUCGGUUGUGGCCAUCAAGAUUCUCGACCUUACAUGUGGUGGAGCUUCCAAGAGCUUCAUAGCCGAGUGCGAGGUCUUGAGAAGAAUCCGACACUGUAAUCUCGUGAAGAUACUCACGGCAUGUUCUGGGUUUGAUUUUAAUGGAAAUGAUUUCAAGGCACUAGUCUACGAAUUCAUGUCAAACGGAAGCUUGGAUGAGUGGCUGCACCCAAUUGCAUCACAAUAUACGGAGAGAAACAAGUUGAGUCUACUUGAGAGAGUGAAUAUUGCAAUCGAUGUUGCUUGUGCACUAGAUUAUCUCCAUCAUCACUGUGAAAUCCCAAUAGUUCAUUGUGAUUUAAAGCCAAGUAAUGUCCUUCUUGAUGAUGAAAUGAAUGGACAUGUAGGCGAUUUUGGGAUUGCCAGGUUCCUUCCGGAAGCAAUACAUAAGUUGCUAGUAGAUCAAUCGAGCUCUGUCGGCGUAAAAGGAUCUUUUGGCUACGUAGCUCCAGGUAAUGAAGCACACCUUGGGUCAUUCAAUUUGUUUUUUUGAACACAUAAUCGUAGACAAAUCCUUAAACAAAAAGGCAUAGACAUAACACAUCACCGAAAAUAUAUUUCAAACUUAAUCAUUCACCUUGCAUCAAUACAUUGUUGAUUGUUGUAGAGUAUGGCAUGGGAAGUGCGGUAUCUAUAGAAGGAGAUGUGUAUAGCUUUGGAGUCCUCAUUUUGGAGAUGUUCACAGGCAAGAGGCCAAUUGAUGACAUGUUUGAAAAUGGGUUGGACCUUCAUCGCUUCACAAAGGCAGCUUUGGCAGACCAAGUGGAGAAGGCAAUUGAUCCCAUUUUGCUUCAGGAAAUCGAGGAGUUGAAGAAGAGACGGACAAUUGCUCCAGGCAAGAACAAGAGCUGGUGUAGUAUCAAGGAUUGUUUGGUUUUGAUCAUCGAAGUAGGAAUCACAUGCUCUUUUGAGUCUUCGAAGGAGCGAAUGGACAUCUAUGAUGCAUUGACUAAACUCCAAGGAAUGAGGAAGAAACUUCUUGCGUUCAUUGUCACUGUCUAGUUGAUGUCAAAUUUGAACUUCAUAUGGAGUCAUGUGGUCUUCAUGGUCCUUGCUUUUUGGUUUUUCUUCCUUUGUAAUUUAACCAUUCUCUAGAUGUUACGUUUUGUCUUUCAACAAUUUGGUCUUCAUGGUGGGUAUGCACUACUUGUACCUAUAAUUUUAGUAAAUGUUAAUUUUGUUGCGUCAUGCGAACCAAUAAGCUAGGCUACCGAAACCCAGUACUUCAUUCUUUCUUUGGUUCUUGUUUGUGUGUGUGGCUGCUAUUAAUGGUGCCUUUGCCUUUGCAUAAACAAAAGUGGUACACCCUUAGUUGUUCGAUUGGCUUCCACCUGAAGUAUCCUUUGGUCAAAGAAGCUCUAAAAAAAAGCUGCUCCAGUGACUCAUGAUAAUACUGUCAUUAUAAACAAAGUAUCCAGGCUUGGGAGCCCCUCUGCAAGUUUCUUCUAUUGUGAUGAGGAUUCUUUCACAGCCAUGGAAGAAACCAAUUCUUUGCUGUUAAUUAUUGUGUAGCGCAUAAUGAAAUGGGCAGGAUGGUGACUGGCUCUAAUAAUCCCGUCGUGUUGUAUGCAAGUGGUGGAAACAUAUCAGUAAUUGCCUAUAGUGAGAGAAGGCAUCGGAUUUUGGAGACAAUGUGAUAUUGCUACUGCAAACUGCUUAGACAGAUUUGCUAGAAUCUUGACACUGUCCAACAAUUCGAGCCCUGGAUACGUCAUGGAGCAGGUAUGUCACCAGAAAUGCCCGUGAAGAUCUCUACUUUGUCCAUGUGCCCUUGACUUUGUCUUAAAACUGUUAUUAUUUGCACUUCACUUUAUUUUAACUAAUUGAUUUAUUUUUUAUCUUUCUAUAAGUAAAAAGGAGGAUGUAAGGAUCUCAACAUGAAAGUUGUGGGAAACGAGCAAUUUUUUUUUCACAAAUGUGAGAGCAAGAGGACAAACGCUAUCAAGAAAACCAGCCAACACAUUUUUCAUUGAUGUGCAAAUGUCGCUCUCUAUUUUGCUGUUGCCUCUUGCUAGAGUGAUGUGAACUGAUGAUGCCAAAUGCGGAUACGGAUUAAUGUUUGUCAAUUUCAGUACUAUGAUGUUUCAAUGAUGUGCAAACGUAGCUUUCUCUUGUAUUUAUUUCCCUUGGAGAAUAAUACGAAAAUGUUGUUUCAUAGAGUGUUUCGACCAAAAUGGUAACUAGUUUUAGCUUUGAUAGUUAAGAACUCUGUGUAUGUUCAUAGCAGAUGCAGAUGUUCAUCAUCAACUCAUCAUUAAACACUUGAAUUAAUUGAAUUUUAAUAUUCUCAUUACAAAAAGAGUCAACAACAGUUACAACUUUAAUAUGUGCUCAAAGCACGCACAACACUAUAAGAAAGAGAAGAUAACGGAUGAGUUUACAAUGUAGUUAGACCUCCCACUGAUCACGUGCAACCUACAACAACCAAUCAAAGUCCUGUCACAUCUUGCUACAUUAUUUAUUAUCCAUGAAAUUAACAAACAUCUAAUAGAAUCCUCUCUUUUCUCUUCGUUGAAGGUCAACUUCAAUCAUUUUUCACAAGAGGCCUAAAAUGAUUUGCUGGAAGUGAUUAUCACCAAUGGGGAAUCAAUCCAUUGGAACCAUCUGAGGGGUUUCUGUGAGUUCUCAAAAUGGGAUGAUGUCGGAAAGAAUUUGAAGAAAUUGCAAUUUCCUUACUACAAUAUUAAGAGAAAAGAGCAUUGUCAGUACACUUAGUAUUUCCACAUCAAGCGAUAAAAAACGGCAUAUAAAGGAGAACUAUAACAGUUAUAUCUAGAAAACGCGGCAAUAUUCAAUGAGCUAAAACCAACAUAGCAAAGAAGCUCAACCAGACUGCAAACCUAGAAAAUCUGAAAGGCCGUGAAUUGGAAAUGAGAGACUUGCUCCAAGGAUUGGAAGAACAUAGAAAAUUGCAAUGCUUAACUGAGCAGAACAUGCUUCUGUAAUUUGAUUCUGUUCGAACUAGUCAAAACACAUUUAUAACUUUCACAAUGCAAUGUUAGGAAGGUAAAGAACCCAUGCAUGCACACGAGCUAUAUGCUCGAUGCAUUGGAAACAUUUGGUGGACCGGUGAACCUGCUUGUUUGUCAUGAUUCUGAUCCAGCAGUUGAACACGCAUCAAUGUAUAUAUCUUAGGUGACAGGGUCGAGGUACAUUGGAGAACGAGCAAAAGGUACCAUAACUUCGUAUAAAACUUGCCUGUUUGUCCAGCAAAGUGUUGGAAGAUAUGCAGAAUCACGGAUUGCACAAUCAAGGAUCCGGAUUGAUUAUUGAUUUGAUUUGAAGAUUAGAAUUAUGUACAUAAUCAAUUAAGAUUAGAUCUAGCUAUAGAUUGAUUUGUAGAAUCAUUUAUUCCCUUUAUUUUUCAUACAGCUUGUAUUAUAUUUACAACAAGAAUUGUACAGAUUCAUCAUUGAAGUAAAUAGAAAGAAAACUGUUCCUUCUUCUUUCAUGGUAUCAGAGCAGCCGAUUCUCUGAACCUAGCUUCCGCUUCCGCUCAGAAUUUUCUCUCCUUGCUGUGACUUUCUGAUCCUGAAGUUCUGACCUGCAAAAAAGGGUUUCUUUUUCAGGCAUAUUGUCACGCUCAGAAAAUUUUACUCACCAUGGCGAAUUUGCAAGAUGAAGUAUCCACCACCAGGAACCAAUCUGCUGGUUAAGUUAUUCCAGCCGCUGGAAGCACUGCUCAGACAUCGAUUUCACCUGUUACAACUCAAACAACAACGCAAAUGUUGUUUCCAACUCAGCCCGUGCAAUGGCGGCCCACCCCGGCUCAGUUCACUAUGGGGCAGCCCAUGACGGGCCAGCCUUUCCAAUGGAUUCCAUAUCCAAUCUAUGUUGGGUCAAACCCAAACUCUUCAUUGCUUGGGUAUGUGGGCCACCAAAGCCACGUCCAAACCGACGGGGGUCCGCCAGCCACAGAAGGGGCAAACCCGACCGACGGAGUGGAGCGGAUACACAGGUCGAGUGAACCGGGUACGGGUAUGAAUCCCUACCCGGGAUUUUUGAAUGCGGAUUUUUCAUUCGGGUCGAAUGAAUCGGGCCAAGGGACGAAUCCCUACCCGAAUCAUACGCCCGGGUUUCUGCCCUUUCCAGCGGCGGCCUUCGCCAGACGGCCAGAACUCAGCGACCCCUUGUUCGUUUCCACAGCCGACGGACCAGAGCUGCGACUAAUCAGUCAACAACUGACCGGGCCAGAGACUUACCCCAAGUGGUCGCAAGAGUUCCGACGUGCCCUAGCGACAAAGGACAAGGAUGGAUUUCUCGAUGGAACCAUCCCAAUCCCUACCGACGAGCGUCUAGCACGGCUCUGGAGGAAGAGCAACCGCCUGGUCCGAACUUGGAUCGGCAAUUGUCUCUCCACAGAGGUCUCGGCUGGACUCCCACCGACUGAAGACGCCAAAGGGAUGUGGGAUAAUAUCAAGGAGAUGUACGGGAGGUUGGAUCAAGCAAAAAUAUUCACCCUCAUGCAAGAACUCAGUGAUUUAAAACAAGGGAAUUCGACGGUCACAGCUUGCUUCAACAAAUUAUCAUCGUUAUGGAACAGCCUCGAAGCAGCAGAAGAAAAACUCGAGGGUCCCGAAUCCACACUCCGACAGUACAAAUCCAUCAAAGACAGGGAGAAAGCGACGCGUUUUUUGCUCAUUUUAAACGACAACUUUCUUACCUUUCGCUCGUAGAUCUUGGCUAUGGAUCCCAUGCCAUCAAUCGGGCGAAUUUAUCAACUAGCGGUGCAAGAGGAAAGCCAGCAAUUCGCAUCACCAAAGAACGCGAAGAGUGGCGAGAGUAUCGCUCUUGCAGUCCACAAGGAGCGAAAAGAUGGAACCCAGAAAACCCUAGCAGAGAAGAGACGUGGCGUGCUAGGGUUUCGCGGAGAAGGGUUGCGGGCCUAUAAAUCAGAAGGGAUGAACGGCUCUGAUCGAGCGCGUAUAUCCGACGGCUCACAGGAGACCGAUCAUUUAAAAGGAUCGGACGGCCCAGAUGAACUCGCGACAAAAGGAACCGACGGACAGAUUUUUGCCACAUCAUCCAGGAAUUUCGGGCAAAAUUUUAAAGGGAAAGGUAGAUUAUUUUGUGACUAUUGCAAGCGUUCUAAUCACUCAAUUGACAGUUGUUGGAAGCUGCACGGGAAACCAGCGGAAAAAGGAAAAAGAAUUUCAGCGGCAUACCAAUUGAGUGGAUCUCCCGGCCCAAAUUCUGAUCAUACCAUUACCUAUGGACAGUACCAGCAACUGAUGCAAGCUUUGCAGAAAUUGGAUGUUUCUGACAAAGGAGGCAGUUUUUCAAGUAUCACGCAUGGCUUGAUUAAUUCUAUAUCAAGAAAAGCAUGGAUUAUUGACUCAGGGGCAACUGAUCAUAUUAUAUGUGACAAGAGUCUUUUCUCAAGAAUAGAUGAGGAAUUGAAUUUUCCCAUUUCCGUACAAUUGCCUAAUGGGAAUAUUAGUCAUAUUCGUGUGACAAGAACGGUUAAUCUCAGUCCUCAAAUUAUUCUUAAAAAUGUCCUUUAUGUCCCAGAAUUCCAGUUCAAUCUCAUUUCCGUAUCAAAAGUCUGCCAAGAGAAUUCAUGUCGAGUGAUAUUCAAUGCUGAUACCUGUUUAUUUCAGGCCCUUUCAACUGGCAGACUGAUGGGCUGGGGUAAUAUUUCAGAAGGACUAUUUUUUUGGUCAAGACUCCCAAGUAAUUUUGAUUUAUCCAGCUUUCCAUUAAAUAAAUCCUCCUUGUGUAAUUUGAGCUUGAAUGAUAAAAGUUCUCUUAUGCAUAUGAGAUUAGGCCACAGUGCCACCUUUCCUUAUCCUAAAUGUCCUAUUUGUCCACUAGCAAAACAGUCUCGUUCCCCUUUUCCAUCUAGUAAUUCUCGUGCUAGACAAAUCUUUUCACUGAUACAUGUUGAUAUAUGGGGACCUUAUCAUAAGGUUAAUUAUGAUGGAUCACGUUAUUUCCUCACAAUAGUAGACGAUCAUUCUCGUGCGACAUGGAUUUUCUUGAUGCAAUCAAAGGCUCAGACUUACUCUUAUUUAAAGACAUUUAUUGCCUUAUCCAAAAAUCAGUUUGGAAAAUCAAUCCAGAGAAUUCGAACUGAUAAUGGAGCGGAAUUUUUCAGUCACAAUUGUUCCAUGCUUUUCUCAUCUCAUGGCAUCCAGCAUGAGAGUUCAUGCACUUAUACACCACAACAAAAUGGAGUGGUUGAGCGCAAGCAUCGGCACCUUUUGGAAGUCGCACGUGCCUUGAAGUUUCAAGCUUCAGUACCAGAUGAUUAUUGGGGAAAUUGUGUCAUCACAGCAGCUUAUUUGAUCAAUCAUAUGCCCACCAAGAUACUGGACAAACACCAUUCGAGCUACUCUAUGGAAGAAAACCAGAUUUACAACAUCUCAAAAUCUUCGGAUGUCUUUGCUAUGCUACAACAUUGGGCUCUCGAGACAAGUUGAGCCCACGUGCUCGGAAAUGCAUUUUCAUGGGAUAUCCUAAUCUGCAGAAGGGGUAUCGAGUUCUUGAUAUAUCAACAAAGGAGUUUCUUAUAAGCCGUGAUGUAUCUUUCCAUGAAGAUAUAUUCCCCUUUUCCAACAUGGGGGAACCAAAUGAGAAUCUCGACAUCAAUUCUAAUUCUCAUCGUCUCUCACAUGACGACGCAAUAUCUCCAGACCAUGGUUACAUACCACUGGUUCAAUCAAGGAAUCCAUCUUACACUCCUACAAUAAUUCCAGGAGAGAUACCAUCUAUACUGGAGAAUCCAUCAUCAUCAGCAAACCUGACAGAAGAGGAAGUUGAAGAUGCAAGCAAUAUUGCGGAAGAAGUUGGCCAUGAUAUCUCGCCACCCACCUCCAAUGAAACAAUUCCCACUUCUGAUGGAGAUCAUCCAAGACGCUCUCGUCGGGCCACUCGACCUCCGACGUGGACCAAGGACUAUAUCUGUGCCACUCACAACUCUCCAGGUAUUCAAUAUCCUGUCUCCUCCUAUGUUUCCUUUCAUAGAUUAUCAGAGGAACAUAGAUGCUGCAUUAGUCGCCUAUCAGAAGAACAGGAACCAUCUAGUUAUGAUAAGGUAGCUGUUGAUCCUAGAUGGUAGCAAGCCAUGGCAGCAGAGUUAAAGGCAUUGAAUGACAACCACACAUGGGAUCUUGUCUCAUUGCCACCUAAUCGGAAACCAAUUGGGUGCAAAUGGGUAUACAAGAUUAAAUAUCGUGCAGAUGGAUCAAUUGAACGGUACAAGGCACGCUUGGUAGCAAAGGGAUUUACUCAGCGAGAAGGUUUUGACUACCACGAGACCUUUUCCCCAGUUGCCAAAGAUGUCACAGUUCGCUCUUUUUUUACCAUCGCCGCCAUCAAUGAUUGGAGUCUGCAUCAAAUGGACGUGCAUAAUGCCUUUCUCCAUGGUGAUUUAGAUGAAGAGAUAUAUAUGGAUGUUCCUCUGGGUUUACGGAGACAGGGGGAGAAUAGAGUGUGUCGUCUCCGCAAAUCCCUUUAUGGGUUGAAGCAAGCAUCCAGACAAUGGUAUGCAAAAUUUGCAAAUGCUCUUACGAAAGCUGGGUUCCAACAAUCAAAGCAUGACUAUGCAUUGUUCACAAGGAACAGAGGUAUGUCAUCUAUCUUUUUGAUGAUAUAUGUCGAUGAUAUUCUUCUUAUGGGAAAUGAUAAGGCUGCCAUAGAAAGAUUCAAGGAAUAUUUGCAUGCUACCUUUCAUAUGAAGGACUUAGGAGCACCUAAAUAUUUCCUUGGAAUCGAAAUUGCUCGAUCCGAUUUAGGAAUCUCCCUCAGUCAACGAAAGUUCAUAUUGGAGAUUAUAUCAGAAGCAGGGCUAUCAGGAUGUAAACCAGCAGCAAUUCCCAUCGAGCAGAACACUAAAUUGACUUCUGCAGCUUACGAUGAAGGUAUAUCCAAAGAUGACGAUCCCAUACUCAAAGAUCCAUCUGGAUAUCAAAGGCUUGUUGGGAAACUUAUAUAUCUGACAAUGACGAGGCCGGACAUCUCUUAUGCAGUACAAACAUUGAGCCAGUUCAUGCAUAGCCCAAAACAGUCUCAUUUCGAUGCAGCUUUGAAGAUUGUAAAAUAUUUAAAGAAAUGUCCAGGACUUGGGAUACUUCUGUCAAAGAAAUGUGACAUGAAGAUGACGGCAUUUUGUGAUGCAGACUAUGCAACAUGUCCUAUAAGUCGAAGAUCAGUCACAGGAUAUUGCAUUAAAUUUGGGGAAUCACUUCUUUCAUGGAAGACCAAGAAGCAACCCACUGUGUCUUUAUCCUCAGCUGAGGCAGAGUAUCGAGCUAUGGCUAAGACCACAUGUCAAAUAGUGUGGAUGUGAGGUUUACUUAAGGAUCUUGGGAUAGAAGUGCAAGGACCAACCAGGCUUUAUUGUGAUAACGAUGCAGCCCUAAAACUUGCAGCAAAUCCUAUAGUACAUGAGAGAACCAAGCACAUUGAAGUCGACUGUCACUUCACUCGAGAAAAGAUACAAGAAGGCGUGAUUGAGACAAGAGGAAUUGGAACAAUGGAGCAGCCAGCAGAUAUAUUUACCAAGCCUCUAUGUCAAAGACAGCACGCAUAUCUGUUGAGCAAGCUAGGUGUCUUAGACAUAUACAGAUCACCAGCUUGAGGGGGAGUGUUGGAAGAUAUGCAGAAUCACGGAUUGCACAAUCAAGGAUCCGGAUUGAUUAUUGAUUUGAUUUGAAGAUUAGAAUUAUGUACAUAAUCAAUUAAGAUUAGAUCUAGCUAUAGAUUGAUUUGUAGAAUCAUUUAUUCCCUUUAUUUUUCAUACAGCUUGUAUUAUAUUUACAACAAGAAUUGUACAGAUUCAUCAUUGAAGUGAAUAGAAAGAAAACUGUUCCUUCUUCUUUCACAAAGGCCCAUUUAUGUUCGCUACUCUAUGACGCUGCAUGUUCAAAGCAAGCGCAAGCAUCAGAACGCUGAACAAACGCUCUGUUUGUCCAGCAAAGGCCGAGUAGAAACUUCUACACCAAACCACUCACUUCCUUGCACUAUCUCAUUCCAAAACACAUCACCAAAACUCCCAUGGGCAUAUCAUUUCACCAAUUUCCCAGCAAAGCAGCCGACGCGUAAACCCUAGAAAACUCAAUCGCAACAGGAAACACCAUUUCCGUGACACUGCAUGAUCAAAGCGACCGCGUGACCGAGCAUCAGAGUGCUGGACAACGCUCUGUUUGUCUAGCAAAGGCCGAGUAGAAACUUCUACUCCAAACCACAUAUCGUCUCCCUGAGUUACUGGCAAAGCAACCGACGCGUGAAUCCUUGAGACCUCAAUCGCAACCAGAAAGGCCAUUUUCCGUUCGCUAAAUCCGUGACGCUGCAUGUUCAAAGCAAGCGCGCGAUCAAGCAUCAAGAUGCCGAACAAACACUCUGUUUGUCUACUACACCGAACCGAUUGCUUCGUUGCACGAUCUCAUUAAAAAAAAAAAAAAGGAAGAAGAAGAACGUAAUCGUCUCUCGAAACGAUGAACUCGCGAGGAAGAUGACGACGGAGUCGACCCGUCGAAGAGAUGAUAAAAGGAAAGGAAAAGGCGCGAGAGCGACGUGAGAGCUGACCUUCGACGGCUCCUUCACGUAGAGAUAGGCGGCGAAGGAAGCCAGCAGGAUCAGCACCGGCAGGAUCCGCCAUUGCAGAUGCUUCAUUCCUCCCUCCCUCUCUCUCUAGAAUCUCGAUGACGCAGAAAGGAGAGAGAGCGCUUCGCAGAAAUUUGCGCUCCCUCACGAGUCGCGAAGCGCCUUCAGAGUCAGCUCCCUCUUGUCGUUUUUUCUUCCCUCUCUCCUUAAUAUUUUGAUUUUUCGGUGUAAAGAUUAUUUACUUACCGACCAAUGGAACUCUGACACGUGUAGGAUUCCUCGAAGCAAUUUAAUAAAAGUUUUUUUAAUUGAUAAGGGGGAAAGAAUAUUUGUUUUUCUUGGCACGACCAAACACUUCGAUUUUUCCAGCGAUGUCUUUAGUGGAGCGUGCGUGCAUGCGUGUAAGCCCACUUGUCUCCCAUUGGCGAAAUUUUUGUUAUGUACACGAUAUCAUUUUAUAUUAUAACUAAUGCGAUGUUAUGUAUUUUUCUAUGUUCAAUUCCAUUUUAAUCUGGAAAAUGUCAAGUGUUAAUCGACAUUAAAUUAUUAACCAAGGCUUUUUUGUGGAGUAGUUUAUGACAUAGGUGGAAAACGAGUAUUAUAAAUGUAGGUAGAUAUCGAUGGCUGGGCAUGACGAACGAAUGAAUAAAAUCUAAUUUUGGCUAGAGAAAGUUCGAGAUGCUCUAAUGGCUUUGGUUUUCAAUAUAUAAUACAAAUAGAAAUAUAAUUUAAUAGGUCGAAAUUCAUAAUUGAUUCCUCAAAUCUAUGCACCAAAACGAACCCUUGCUAAGUUCUAUAAUAGCUAGAUUGGUCUAACAACAAAAAGUAGUUUUUAUAUUUUGUUUUCAGAUUAAUGUCUCGAGUGAUGAUAAUAUGACAAUUUAAAUUUGGAGACAAUAUUAAGUAUUUUAAUAUAAUUCAUAGACUAAAUUGAACAUAUAUUAAAAAUCUAGGGACCUCGUUGUACAUUAAAUUAGAAUUUAGGGACCAUAUGAAAUAAAUUUAAAGUUAAUGGAUGAAUUAUGCAAUUUUAUCUAACAAAGGUAGUUUUGAAGAGGGGAGUACAGGGAUUUUAACCGCAGCGGUUUUCUUCAUCCGUGAAAACCGUCUGGAGCGUCGGUUAUCGUAGAUAUUGCCUUCCAUCACGGCGUCUCAAGUUAACCGCAGCGGUUUUCUUCUUCGGAGGCGCCGUUUUUUAGAGAGAGAAACGGAUACCAUACGCAGAGUCAAAAAUCAAUCCGUUUCUCCCCUGGCCGAGAAGUCUGAUUGAUCCCGGUCUCCAUUGAAGCUUCGCCACCCGGCCCAUAACUUCGUCGGCGACGAGUUUCCGUGGCUGUCUCGGGUUUCGCUUGAUCAUCAAUCGUGAUUAGAACUCCGUUUCAUUGAGGCGUUUCUUGGUCAUCGGCAGUGCUGGUCUGUCUGUGAGAAGUGGCUCGGAGUUUGUGUAACGCUUCGACAAUGAUGACCGGGGAGGUGAGCUUUUCUCAAUCUUUUUCUCCUUUUAUAUUUUCAUCGUGCUGUUCAUGUGUUGAAUUAUUAUCUGUGAUGCUGUGUGUUCCAAGAUCAAACGAUCGGUGGCGGUCGAUGGCGGUGUUGUAGUAAUGGAUGGUGUUCGGAGGCGACGUCCAUGGCAGCAAUGGCCAGAAGUAGUGAAUAGCGGUGCAUUCCAAGCUCUGUUGCUCCUCUCGUCACAUUCAGCGGACGCCGCAGCGGCGGAAUCCACGGCGUGUUUUUUUCUUUUUUCUGGUAAGAUUUGAAUUGUGUGUUUUAAAUGAUCUCUUAUGUGGGGUCAAAGAAUGGCAGGAGAAAUGGCUUUCCUCAUUUUUUUGGUAAGAUUUGAACUGUGUUUUUUUUCUUUUUUCUGCUCUAACAUGGAACAACCACGAGUACCUGCCGCCAGUCAUCUGCUUGUUGCGGUAGAAUGAGGUUUGGCUAUCAUUUGGGAAUAUCAGUGCUGCGUAAAACGUGCCCUUUAUCACAGAUUUUCUGUGUCAAUUACUCCAUCUACUAGUUUAAAGUAUGAACUUCUAUAUCUCUUUGGCUUGUCACAGGUACAUAUCAACAGUUGGGUUUUACUCGCUUAAGAUGCACUUCCUUGUUAGAAGGAAAAAAUGACCAAAGGUUACGUAACAAGGAAGCUGUUGGGCAUGACUAUAAAAGGUUUUCUUUUAAAAAUUGAAAUGGCCACUUUAGUAAUCUUUAUUUAGUAUGGAGAAUCUCAGUCACGAUUAUAAUCAAAUAGUUAGAGUUGUCGCCAAUAAAGAAAUGUUGCCAGCCUUGAGUUGCUACAUCAGUCCAACAUGGUGCUUGCAAUAACUAUACCUUUUUUGUGUCAUCAUCAUUGGUCAGCCUUGUCAUUGGUCAGCCUUGCCUUCAUGAAUCUUUGUUGCUCAUUGAGAUUAGUCCGGAAAUUGUUACUUCAACCGAGCUCAACAAGGAGUUGGAAUCUCUAUUGCCCAUUGAGAUUUGGUGUACUUAUUUUAGCGUGGAAAUUUGGCAGUCACAAUGCAUGACAAGAGAGGACAAUCAAAUAAAACUUCAUAGUUCUGACUAAACUUAUGCAUUAUAUUGAUUUAUCAAUUUCAAACCUUGAGAACCUAGCUAGGGAAAAAGGGGCAAAUUAUGAAGGGUAAAAUAUGUUGCUUUUCCUAGCCUUUCUUGUGGAAAAACCAUAUUCGUGGCAAUGGAGACUGAAUUGUGAUCUCUGAUUUGACUGAACAAUAUAAUUUGAUAGCUAGUUUUAGACUCUAAAAGUCCUCAUUACUUAUUCUUGCUGAACGCUUGGAUGUAGGUUGCUGGUUGGAUUUGAAUGAAAAAUCUCUUGUUGUAGUUUUAGAGGCUAGUCGUAUUGCUUUUUAAAUGGAUCAGAGUCAAUACUCCAUGUUCAUUGGCAGAACUCACCAAGUUUUGGAUUGGUGCUCCUAUCUACAAAAUGGUUUUGUGUCAUCUAUUAAAAAAUUGUAGACUCUUUCAAUAGAACAGUUGAUAGAACAAAUCUAGUAAGGAAAAUGUAGGGGAAGUUGUGUUUCCCAUUAUGAGCUAGUGUCUAGUUUAGUGAGUGUGGGCAAUAACUGCUCUAGCAUUGUAUUUAGUUUGUAUGCUUCGGAUCAAUUAACUUUAGAAACCUAAGGUUCUCAUUUUUUGGAACAUGAGAUGCAUCUGUGCUGAAAUUUCAUUUGGUAUAUUUACGUGGCCAUGUUCAUCUCCUCGUUCCCGUCCCAUGGCUCUACUCAAACUGAGAGGCUUACAGGGAGAGUUUAGAUAGAGAAGGCGAGUGUUGAUGGAGUCAACCAUAUCAAAGACUCUCUAUCCUCAUCUUCGUCCUCCCUCAACCCCUUCGUCUUCCGCCUCUACCGCUACAUCACCCGAUCGCUGCAUCGCUGAUGCGAGUGGGUGUCUGGCACCUAUGAUUGCAUCACCUUCGGCAUAACCCCUAGAGGAUUGAGUGAAGCUUGAUAUGAGUUUGUGCCAGCAAAGUGACUAUAANNNNNNNNNNNNNNNNNNNNNNNNNNNNNNNNNNNNNNNNNNNNNNNNNNNNNNNNNNNNNNNNNNNNNNNNNNNNNNNNNNNNNNNNNNNNNNNNNNNNCAGCGAGCGUGAAAGAGAAUUUGAGAAAAUCAAUUGAGUUUGCCAUUGCUUUUGUUUUGCUAUUAUACUCUCUAAGGUACCUGGGAUCAUCCAUUUUUCAUAAUAAAAAAAAUGGUCAUCAACUUAAAUUAAACUUAGUGUGACGGAACAGUCAUCCCCCGUGUUACGCAUUUUGUCCUCUCGUAAAUGUGAAGAGAAAUAAGGUUCUAAAUGAUCUCUUAUGUUGGGUGAAAGAAUGGCAGGAGAAAUGACUUUCCUCUUCUUCUUUUUUUCCCGGUAAGAUUUGAACCCUGCGUGUUUUUUUCUACUUUCUGCUCUAACAUUGAACAGUCACAAAUACCUGCCGCCAGUGUCAAUCUUACAGCCGAGACAGCAGUUAUAUGGCCUCUAUUUGAAGCCGAGGCUGUACAUAAUUAGCAAAAAGAGUUGGGAGAAACAGUUGCAAAACACUUGACAAAUUGUGGCUUUAUAUCUAACCCUCGAGGUAAGCAAUUUUUAUUCACUAUAUGCUUGUUGCAGGAGAAUGAGGUUUGGCUGUCAUUUGGGAAUAUCAUUGCUGCAUAUAACGUUCUUUUUAUCACAGAUUUUCUAUGUCGAUUACUCCAUCUAUUAGGUUGAAGAAUGAGCUUUUAUAUCUCUUUGGCCUAUCACAGAUACAUAUCAAGAGUUGGGUUUUACUCGCUUAAGAUGCACUUCCUUGUUAGAAGAAAAAAAAGGCCAAAGGUUAUGUAACAAGGAAAUCUGUUGGGCACGACUACAAAAGGUUUUCGUUUGAAAUAUUGAACUGGCAGGAAUCUUUCUUGAGUAUGGAGAAUCUCAGUCACGUUUGUAAUCAAACAGUUAGAGUUGUCGCCAGUAUAGAAAUGUUGCCAGCCCUUGAGUUGCUACAUUAGUCCAACAUGGUGGUUGCAAUAACUAUACUCUUUUUUUUUUUUUAUGUCAUUGUCAUUGGUCACCCUUGACUUCAUGAAUCUUUGCUGCUCAUUGAGAGUAGUCCAGAAAUUCUUACCUCAACCGAUCUCAGCAUGGAGUUGAAAUCUCUGUUGCUCAUUGAGAUUUUGGGGUUUAACAAGCCACACAAUGUGGAAAUACCGUACUUAUUUUAGUGUUGAAAUUUGGCAGUCAUAAUGCAUGACAGGAGAGGACAACCAAAUAAAACUUCAUAGUUCUGACUAAACUUAUGCGGCAUAUUGACUUGUGGUUUGAAACCCUGAGAACCUAGCUAGGGAAAAAGGGGCAAACUAUGAAGGAUAAAACAUGUUGCUUUUGGUAGCUUUUCUUGUGGAAAAACCAUAUUUGUGGCAAUGGAGACUGAAUUGUGGUUCCUGAUUUGACUGAAACAAUUUAAUUUGAUAAGUAGUUUUAGACUCUAAGAAUCCUCAUUUCUUAUUCUUUCCAAAUGCUUAGGUUCAGAUUGAUGGUUGGAUUCGAAUGAAAAAUCUCUUAUUGUACUUUUAGGGGCUAGUCAUAUUGCUUUUAGAAUGGAUCAGAGUCGAUAUUGGCUGAACUUGCCAAGUUUGGAAUGUUGCUCUUAUCUACAAAAUGCUUUUGUGUCAUCAAUUAAAAAAUUGUAGACUCUUUUAAUAGAACAGUUGAUAGAACACAUCUAGUGAAAAAAAGGGUCAAUUAACUCUAGAAACCUAAGGUUCUCAUUUUUUUGGAACAUGAGAUGCAUCUUUGCGAAAUUUGAUUUGGUAUAGUUUUUAUCCUUGAUAUGAGUAUGUGGUGAUGAAAUAAGCAUAUUUAAUAUUACAUAGCGUAAUUGCAAAAACUAUCCUCAAUUUUGCUUUUCAUAUCAAAUACCCUCCUCACAUUUCAAAAUCUAUAUAGUGCAUCUCCCAACCUAAAUUAACUAUUUGCCCUUAUGCGCGCAUGAGAUCUACACCUAGAAAGUGGAAUGCAACAUUGAGGAUGGGGUAAUUUGAGAAAUAUGUGUGGGUGCGAGAUGCAACCUGAAAUCCACAACCAAAAAAAUAAAAUAAAAUGGAGAGUGAUGAUUGGAUGUCUGAAAUAUGAGAAUAGCGCGUUUGAUAUGAGUAGCAAAGUCUAGGAUGAUAUCUGUAAUUUUCCAUGUCAUAUAAUACAAACUAACUCCAGGAUGAAUAUUUCUAAAGCAGGUGGUGGUUGAAAAGUUCUCUGCCUCGAGGUUCAGGUAGUGACCAACAUGGUGAUUGCAGUCGUGACUGUGGUCGUGAUCGUGGCCCUAAUCAGGCCUGUGGUGGUGGAUGUGGAGGUGGAGAUGGAGAGUGCUUGCGGAAAGCCUGGGCAUUCUACAAGCGAGUGUCCUAGUGAAAGGGCAGAGGAGGUAGUUAUGCGGGGAGCAAUGACAGGUAUGGAGGUGGAGGUGGUGGACACUAUGGUCCUCAUCGAAAUGGUGGUUGACCUGGCGGGUGCAAUAGAGAUAGUGGUACUCAAGGAGGAUCAUGAAAUGACUGCUAUAAUUAGGACCGUUCUGGUCCCUAUGGAUGUCGUCGUACAGGAAACUUCUGUUCAGGGUAGAAAGAAUUCUCCUGAUAGGUAUGCACAGAGGUUUUUCCUAUUAUAGUGAAGUAGUUGAUCCUGUGCUGAUUGAAAAGUGCUUGCAACAGAGCAAUUGAAGAUACUGCUGUUACUUGCUGGAGGUGUCAAAGUCUCUUCUGUUUCAUCUCUUCUUCAUGGUUCUCCAGGUGGACAAAUCUGCUUGAUCCAACUGUUGAUGUGCGAUCUUUGGCUAAAAGAUUCAACUGUUUAAUGUCUGUGAAUGCUCGUUUUGAUGUUUUGGAUCCAAUGACAUUGCUUGCUUUACUUAAACAAUCAAAUUUGGCCUUACUAUUUCAAUGCUAUGAUGAAUACUGGAUUCUCUUUUGCUCACAUGCUUUAGCAAUUGCAAAUGCAUCUGAGAUCGAUCUUGGUUGACUUCAUCAUUGGCGUUUGUGACUAUGGAGUGUGGACAGCUUUUUGGUGUCUAGAUGGCUCUUUUGAGGAUUGGACGAGAUUCACCUAAGGAAGUAAUGCGUUUUCUCUUCACAAAAGAGAAGUUGCCUUAGAAAUGAAUGCCUGUUUUGGCUACGAUUUUUCAAAUGUUUAACUUUUUGAAAAGGAGUUAAGCGGGUAAACUCUAUGUUUUCUUCGACACAUUUAGUAUGUGAGCUUUCUGUCUAUAGUUUGCACUAUAUUAACUCUGCUAAACUUUUGGCAGGAUUCUAUGCUGUUUGUGGUGUUUUGAUGCGCAGUUCCGUUACUCUUAUAUCAUGAUACGUGGGUUUAGUCUUAAAAACUCUGGAAAGUCCUUUUGGUCUCAAGAAGCUGUUCUGUGCAAUUAACUCGGUAAAUUUCGUCUCACCUUCCACACAUUGUACUGAUGGAGGAGUUCCUUUCUCAGUAAAAUGUGGAGAUCUUUUGGAAGCUUUAGUGAGCAUGGCAAUUUGAUUUUCACGAUCUUCUUCCUAGCUAUCUGCUGUCUCUUAUUGCCAUCUUCAGUGGAGGAUUGCUGGUCUCUGUCUCACCCGUGUACAUGAUGCUGCUAUUGUCUUAGGUUUCCUGGAUAAAUUUCCCUUUCAGGUGUAAUGCGGCUCUUCCUAUGAAUCAGCUAUGUUGCUAAUAAACACACGGUUCUUUUCACUUCUGCAUUAAUGAUCUUUGCCAUGCUCUUGCAGCCAGUCAUUUGCAAUUGAUAAUGUGUCUUCCCUGAAUUCUUUCAGAAGUUGUGCUAGCUCCAUUUGAAAUUGAUAUUGGCUUUGUGACUCCUAGAUGUGGUAUAUUCUCGCCACAAGCAAAAAAAGCGGAUAUGAUCAUUUCCUUUUCAGCUCUCUCUGUGUAAUUACUUGGUUAAGGUUAUUGGGCAUUCUUAACUAUGGCUUUGUAAGUGAAUAUUUUCUUUUCCCGUUAUGCUUGUCAACAAAUUUGGAGGUUAAGGUUAUUGGGCAUUCUUAACUAUGGCUUUGUAAGUGAAUAUUUUCUUUUCCCAUUAUGCUUGUCAACAAAUUUGGAGAUCAAAUUGGCAAUACGUGCUCAGCAGGAAAGAGUUAUCUAUUCUUGUUUAAAAUUGAAAGGAAUUUUACCGAAGUACUGGUUAAUUCUCAAGUAGAGCUUAAUAGUACAUUGUAUCAAUUUUCUGUUAAUCUUUGCGACUUCCUUUAUAUACUUAUUUCUUUAAUGUCAGAGCUAGUCACAUACUUAAGUUAAUCCCUAUCUUAAAUAGAUUUUUCAUAAUUCCAAAAUCAUUUCAGAAUCCAAAAGAAAAGAAAGGAAGCUGAAACAGGAAACCAAAAGGACCACAAUCAAACAAUUCAAUGAUCUUAAUCAUCAAUAUACAAAGUACACUGGGAGGAGGCCGGGGGUUUGCAUCCAGAGCAUUGAAUUGGACGGUGAAGCUCUUGAAGGUUUGAGAAAAGACCACGCUGUGUGGAUGGCUGAAAUGCUUGUGUGACUUCAUCUCUGUAUUAGGCUGCGCGCGUGCUUAUGUGUGUGAAAGAGCGAAGGGAGGGAGGAAGGUUGGCUUUUGUCUUAACUAGGAACUGCUCGUGUAUGUAGGAAACAGCGAAGGUUCAAGAAUCAAUGUUUAAAAUAUGCGAUUGGCAUAAUAUAUUGUAUUAACUCUAUAUAACAACUUUUUUUAAGAAAUGUAAUCAUUUUUCUUCUUUUGCGCUUUAAGGGGAAGUACAUUGAACAUGGCUAUAUGCGAAAGAAGAAAGACUGAUGCAACCCAUUGAAUACAGCUUCCUACAUAAAUGAAGUCAUCUUGGAAAUCAUGCGGAUCUCCCCGUCUCUCUCUCUUCUUUCGAGUUCAUGCUUGUGGAUGUUAUUGGCAAAGUAGUGUGAUCUCAAUCUAGCCCCGUGAUUCAAACUUGUUUCACGAUAUGUCCUUAUUUGAAGGGUAAGUUCACUUUGUGACAUCCUGGAUUUUACAGUUCUGCUUUCAAUUAAAUCAAUUGGAUUUUUCAUCGAUGCGCCUAUAGUGUUAUUCUCAGAGUUGAUCACUCGUAAGAUAACUAGACUAUCUAGGGAAGUCAUUAAGGGAUUUUAAUGUAUUAGACUUAAGGAUUCAACCAGGACUUGACUACUCGAUCAUGCUCAUCUGCAAAGAUCAUUACGGCAUAGUUAAAAAUUGCUUAGAGAACAGAGAUAGGUCGGUCCAACUGAGAUGUGUGACUAAACAUGGGUAAUUCUACUAAAUUGCAAAAUUCUCGUCGAUCGGCACUAGACUGAUUUUUUUGUCUUUUUGGUACCAUGUGUCUGUAUUUGAAUCAUCGAGAUUUUCAUAAGAAUCGAGAGUCACCACUGUGUCGAAUAGGUUCAUUGUGGCUCGAAGAAAAUCGACCAUAGGUUAUUUGCACUAAAAAUUUCUGAAAGCUACUCGGUAGCCUAGGUCACGCUAAAAACACGCCAAAGUGAAAUUAACCAUGAAUUUGAAUCCAAUUUCAGAAAUUGAAAAUUCUGUCAUGUCACAAGUCAUUUUAGGAACGUCGACUCAGUCUCCGAAGAUUUUUUUGCAAACCGAGACUUUUUGGGAAAAAGUCGUCGUAGGGCCAUUUUUAUUUAGAAAAGUCCGAGGGCCGUUUUUGAUUGGGAAAUUGGGAUGCAAGAUGGUUCAAUUGGUGAGGAAAAAUAUCAAUUUGAUUAUUGACCCGAUAACGAAAUUUUUAGAGGCCGAAUUGAAUUGAUUCAAUGAGGAUUCGGGGUCAAAUUGGAAGGAAAACCUUGCAAAUUCGUGUGCCCCCAUGACCCAUGACUUUUGGACCCUUUCCUUGGCUUCUUGUGGAAGAUUGUGGGUUGAAGUUUGCAGAGGAAGCCAACUGUGGGGUGAGGGACUGAUCAAGGGGACAAAAGAAGUGUAGAGACCAAGCUUGUUCCCCCCUUGUACCCUCUUUCCCUCUCUCUCCCGUCAACUGCUUCCGCCUCCUUUCUUCUUUCUGUUCAACGCCCAAAAACUGCAGAGAAGAACCAACUCAGCCUUCUCACCAUCGCAGCCAAUCGCCGGACCACCGUUCACUCCACCGCUUCGCUACUCGCUGUUCGGCGUGCUCGCCAACCCGUCGCAACCUCAUCGCCGUCUAGUCGCGUCGUCUCCGCCUGUCCUCGCCUUCAGCAAGCUGCCAAGGACGCCUGAGCCACCGUCAAAGCCCAUCAAAGCUCCCAUCACCACCGCCUAGACCCGGUUUGGUCCCCUCUACCCAUCUCAGCUCGUUGUCGCCUCAACCAGCCCCCGUUCUGCCUUCUCUCAGCCUAGACCAAAUCAGAACCCAGUGGGUUUUCAGCCAAGGUUUUGGCCCGCUUUGGCCAUUUCCAAACCCCGAAAGGCAAGCCCACUUUAGAGAAGAUCGAGCCUCGCCUCGUCCCCAUCGAUUUGAUCCAAGCGGAUCAAUUAACAAGUGAGUUUAACUCACUAAUUUUCGCUUAGUAGGUUAAUGAUAUUUAAGGGUUGAUUAGUUUAGGUUAAGCAUGGAUUAGGUGGUUAGUUAGUUUAGAUUAGCGGUUUAAAUAUCCGUUAAUCAUGUUAGGUGGUUAGAGUAGUGUAGUUAGAGCCUAGACAAGCUCUAGUAUUUAUCUAGAGUAGUUCGGAAAUUUUCCAGGCUUGUCUCGGCUUCCAAUUAGGCUUUUUCAGGCCUAAGUUGCAUUUUUGGCAUUUAUUUAUUAUUUUCCGUAAUUAUUUAAUUAUUUAUUUAUUUUCCAUAAAUUAGACUGAGAUAGCCGGUGACCGGAAUUUCGUGCUGAUUGCAGUAGUGUGAUCUAUUUAUUUAAUUGAGUUCUAAUUUAUGCUGAUUGAGGGUGAUUUGUGGUUGGGGGUAUUUAUCCCAAAAUUAAUUAAUUUCAGUAAUUAAUUAGAAAAUCACCGGGCAUUAGUUUACAGCGCCAAAAAGGAUUUAUGGGCUGUUGAAACUAGUUGGAUUAUUAAAAGUGAAAAUAUUAUAUUUUGGUUAAGGUCGACCGUAUACCCACAUACGAGUAUUUUUAUCGUGUAUGAUAAAAAUGGCGAAAUGGUUAAAUGAUCGGGAUGAUAUGUUAUAUCAACCUGCAGACUACAAUCUGGCACCUUCUAGUGAGCAUAAAUAGCAUAUUAUAUGAGUAUUUGCGGCAGCUUUUGGUGAGCAUAAAUAGUAUAUUAUAUGAGUAUUUGCGGCAGCUUCUGGUGAGCAUAAAUAGUACAUUAUAUGAGUAUUUGCGGCAGUUUCUGGUGAGCUAUACUAUCUGUAUAUCAGCUUAAAAUGAGCAAUCCUGAGUAUGAUCGGAUUUAUAGAUAGUAUUGAUUGAGAAGACCGGGGAAGGGUCUUGAUGAUAUGUAAUCGACUAAGUCGAUUAAUCCAUGAUUCGAUCUGGCUGGAUAAAUUAAUUGUGAAGUGAUUGGUUGUGAUAUGAACUAUACUGACUUGCAGGAAGAAUCUAAGGUAAAGCUAAGUCUUCUGACUCUUGUUUGUACUUAGGCAGCCUUAGAGCAUAUUUUCUUCUUAAUCGGGUCUUAAGGGUAAAACUCGCUGAGACGUCGUCUCACCCUAUUGUGGGAUAACAUUUCAAGUCCUUAGAUAGCAGCUCCUCCAAAGCAUUUUGGACAACCAAGGAAGAUCACAAAACAAAAGUACGACAUUCCGAUCCAUGGGCAUCCCGAGGGGCUGCAGUAUGAACUGGUGAAGUCUAUAAUUUGGGUUAAUGUGGGUCUACCCAAAAAGGUGCCCCAUCAAUACAGGGCAUGGUAUCGCCUAUAUCGUAAUUGGCAAAGAGAGAGCCCCGUGCAGAAAUGUGAGAUAUCUGUGUAUGUGAUGAAAGUUGCUUUUGAAAAGGGUACGGUAGACCUUAAGGGUGGUUCGGUGGUGGACCUGGUGGACCCUAAGCUUGAAGAUGCAAAUUCUCCAAUGUAUUCUGUUGUAGGCUCCAAAUGGAGUGUGAAAGAAGGAGAAAUCGUGGAUGAUGACUCGUAGUUGAUUGGAAACCCUACCCCUAUUUGCAGACCCUGUUUUCUGACCGAUGUUGUGUAGGACUUGACUCCUGUAGUUUGUUGUAUACAUAUGACUUAGUUUGUUGUAUAUGUAUAUAAGAGUGGUUGUUGUUUUAGUUCGAAAAUUUUGGCCCUACUUUUCUAUACCAUUGUGUGAUUGUCUAGGGAAUAUUAAUUGCUUCCGCAUGUGCAUUAAAAUGAAUGGGUUGGCGAUGCAUCUUGGAACGUUGCUAUCUAAUCGACCAAGCCGGGAUGGGCGCGCGCCCGAAGGGUCGAGGUGUGACACACUUGUCUCAUAUUCCCUAUUACUUCAUCAAAUGAUAAACUAUACUUUUAAUCCCUAAGUUUGAGCAUUCUUUUCCAUUCAAAUCCUCUAAGCUUUGAGUUUUGUCUAUGGCUUCAAUAUAUGAUUUCAUUCUUUGCUUCCAAUAGGCACAAUUGCUUCCAUCAAAGUAAGGUAGCUUGUUGGGAGCUUGAGUAUCAUUGGUAAAGAAGCCGCCAAGAUUAGCCAUGAUAAAGGAUCUUUGUAUUCAGAAGAAAUACACUUCAGAUAAAGAGUAAUAGAGCUCUGAUACCAAUUGUUGAGAUUAACAAUAUAACUUAGAGGGAGUGAAUAUGUUGUUUUCAAACUUUGAUGAUCUUUUGCGGAAAUUAGCUAAUAGCUAAGUAAAGAUCACCAUGACCUGAUAUUUAAUUAAACUCACACUAACGGUAUGCCAAUAAGAAUGAGAAGAUGAAAAAUAGCGGGACACAAAGAGUUAUAGUGGUUUGGCUUUAUUCUCAAGCCUGUGUCCACUCUUUAGAUUGAUAGCCUCAAAACGGGCUGGAUUCCACUAACAAUAUGCUUGGAAAGUUAUAACCGACUAGCAUUGAUCUUUUGUGUGAUAGAUCGCACUAUCUUGAUUCAAUUACUACUCUUACACUUGUACAUUUAAUCUGUAGCACAAUCGCUAAAUAGCACGACAAGCAAGACAGUAAAACAUAGAGAUUUAAUAUGAGAAUAAUAGUACGUAAGCUACUUGAUCUUUUAUGUGCUGCACUCUCUUGGUUCCUAAAGCCUUCUCUUUUAUAAUCUUUCUAAAACUAUUUGUUGAGGUUGAUUUAGAGAGAUAGGUCAUCGUUGAAGAGUUUCCAUUAAACUGCUGUCCAGAAAGAUACUACCCAUACAGUUCCGUUUCUAGGACUUCUGCAAAUUGACCAAAAAUGACAAUUGCUAUUGUCUUCUUACUGCAGUUUUUAACUCACUUAUUAGACACUCUAGCUACUCUACUACAUGCUUUAUUUCGAUUCUGCCGCUUUAAGAAUCCAAAUCUUACAAUGGCUCUUUAGCUAAUCCAACGAACAUCAACUGACGUAGUUGGUUAUUACAUCACCGUCAACCUGAUCUUUACUACUCUAAUAUAAAUAUCAUCAGUACCUUAUCUUUUUGGUUGACUAGUGUUGUUUGUAAUAAUAGGAGAAUCGCAAAAUUUUCCAAUUGGUCACACCAUGGAUGUUGCAUGGUCCUUUGGUCCAAACAUCUGCAAACAACAUAGUACGUAAUAUACUAAAGAUAGUUUGAGCAUAAUCAAAAUCUCUUGAAGAUGUUUUGUCCAAUAAAGACUACUUUCCUUUUUGUGGAUGGGGGCUAUCCAUUUAUUUUAAUACCUUUGAUAAAGAAAUAUUAAAAAUUUAUCAAAUUGUUCUUUCUUGGAUACAGCAUAUUUCACCCAAAAUGAAGCUCUUCUGAAUUCAAGGUCAUUAGAACCUGAGGAUUCGAAAUGUUUUUUUUUUUUUUGAGUGAUUUGAAAUUAGGCCAUGAAGGCCCUUUUUUUAAUACUUGUAUUUAUCAAUGUUGAAAUGAAAAUAAAAUAUGCUUCAUAAUAACUGAAUAUUGAAUACCAAAUAAUACCAGUUUGUUAACUAAGCAUGAGCACCUUUAAUAAGUUUUUUGCAAAAUAUUUAGCAAGAUUCUAUUGCCAAUGAGUAUCUUUUUCUAUUGAAUGAAUAAGUGGCCUUCCCUUCCUUGCCUAGCGAAUUAGUGUUUUUUCGACUUAAUUAAACCUUUUAAGCUUAUUUUUAUUAUGAUAACGGAAUUUGUUUAAUUUUAAUGAGUGCUAAAUAUUUAAGUUUUGAAGACUUAACCGAGUUAUCAAAUAGCCUACAAAUUUGGAAACUACUCACCUUAGAUUUACUCUUAGUAAACACCGUUUUAAUGUAUUGUAGCAUGGAUGUAAAUUUUGGUGAUUACACAUAAAAUUUAGAUGCAAACCAGUAAAUUAUUAAUCACCUCGACAAUGAAAUUCAAAUAUUAGAUAUUUUAUGUUGACUUUAGGAAAUUUAAAUAUGAGAUAGCAAUUUCUUUUACCAGCAAAGAAAGGUGGAAAUAGGCGAUCAACAUUUACCCUCUAAAUGUUAGGCAUUAGAUUUUAUCCAUGACUUUUCAAUGCAACGGUAAAUAUGCAAACGGGUGGAGGUUGGAUUUUUUUUUUCAUAACAUUGUUUGAUUGUGAUAAACUUGUUUAUAUUGAGCUACCACACUGGGUGAUAUACAAGAUAGUAUCUCAUGAAUAUGAAAAAUCUGAAUUAUGAAAUUUUUUCUCCCAUAUUUCAUACGAUGAAUACCAUAUAUAUAUUGGACAUUACCAAUCCGAGAUAAUUAUCGUGUAAUUUUUUUUUCAUUUUUUUUUCAUUUUUUUUCAUAAUUAAUGUUUUCGACGCCAUCAGUUUCUGACCAAUGUUCAUCUCCUCCCUCCCGUCCGGCGGCCCUGCUCAAACCGAGAGGCUUCCAGAGUUUAGAGAGAGAGAGAGAGAGGGAAGACGAGCUUCGAUGGAGUCAAGUCAACCAUAUCCAAGACUCUCUCUCUCUCUCUCUCUCUAUCCUCAUCUCCCUCCUCUCUCAACCCCUUCGUCUUCCGCCUCCAUCGCUACUUCUGCUCAUCACCGAUGCCUCCCCUCUUGGCUCCGCUGCAUAUAUGCCGACCGCAUCCGCUCCCCGAGCCUCGCUGAGCCGUCUCCGUCUCCCCCGGCUCCCGAGAGGUUCCGCUUGUGGGGCGUUUCGCUUCUCUCGGCGCCUUCAGCGGACGCGGCGGCGGCGGAGGAGGCGGAGUCGACGGUGAGGAUUGGAAGGUGAAAUCGGUGGUGGAUGGAGCCGAGGAAGCCUCAGGUGUCUCCUCUGAUGUGAUAAUUCUCGACGUCGGAGUAAGCCCCUCUCUCUACGUGAAUGUACGAGCUGAAGCUUCGAUUUUGUCGAUGCUUGUCCAACUUUCCCUGCAUUAUAAUGCUGAAGAUGUUAUUACGCGGUGCGUAUCAUGUUUCUUUUUCCAGUGUGCGGCCACUUGAGUGGCUCUGUUUCGUCUCUGCAGGGAAUGACUUGCGGGGGGUGUGCAGCGGGAAUGAAGAGAAUUUUGGAAAAUGAAGUGAGUUUGCCACUGCUUUUGUCUUUCUUGUAAGCCAUCUUUCAUAUGAAAAGAAUCGUCAUCGACUUGAAUUAAACCAAGUAUGAGAACUGUCAUUUUCUGAAUGUGAUUUGAACCCAGCGUGUUCUCUCUUUUUUUCUGCUCUAGCAUUGGACAGCCUCAAGUAUCUGCCGCCAGUGUCAAUCUUACAACUGGGACAUCUAUUGUGUGGCCUGUAUCUGAAGCCAAGGCUAUGCCUAAUUGGCAAAAAGAGUUGGGAGAAACACUAGCAAAACACUUGACAAAUUGUGGCUUUAAGUCUAACCCUUGAGGUAAGCGGUUUUAUUCACCAUCUGCUUGUUGCAGUUGAAUGGGGUGUGGCUGACAUUCGUGAAUAUCAUUGCCCCAUAUAAUGUACCUUUUAUCACAGAUUGUCUGUGUCGAAGACUCCAUCUGCUAGUUGGAAGUACGAGUUUUUAUAUCUGUAAUUUUCCCUGUCAUAUAAUACAAACUAACUCCGAGAAGAAUAUCUUUAAUGCAGGGGGUGGUUGACAAGUUCUCUGAACGCUCUCAUGGAUUUGGUUUUGUGACUUUUGAUGAGAAGCAAGCAAUGGAUGAGGCUAUUGAGGCUAUGAAUGGGAUGGACUUGGAUGGGAGAAAUAUCAUUGAGGAAAAAGCUCAGCCUCAAUGUUCAGGUGGAGACCAAGAUGUUGAUUGCAGUUGUAAACGUGGCCCUGAUGGGGAUAGUGGUACCCAAGGAGGAUCAGGAAAGGACUGCUAAAUCAGGACCAUUCUGGUCCCUAUGAACAUCGUGGUACCGGAAACUUCCAUUCAGGGUAGAAAGAAUAUUCCUGAUAGGUAUGUACACAAUUUUGUUUGCAGAUAUAUUAAAGCAGUUGAUGCUGUGCCGAUUGAAAAAUAUUUUGUGCUUGUAGCAGAGCAAUUGGAGGUACUGCUGUUACUUGCUGGAGCCAAAGUCCCUUCUGUUGCAUCUCUUCUUUAUUGUUCUCUGGGUGGACGAAUUGGCUUGAUCAGUUUUUGAUGUGUGAACUAUGGCUGAAAUAUUUGAAUGUUUAAUGUCCAUGAAUGCUCGUUUUGAUGUUUUGGUCUGAUGACAAUGCUUGCUUGACUUCAAAAAUCAAAUUUGGCCUUACUGUAUCAAUGCUAUAACGGGUCCUGGAUUCUUUUUGGGUUACAUACUUUAGCACUAACGAAUGCAUCUGAGAUUGAUCUUGGUUGACUUCUUCAUUGGCAUUUGCGACUGCGGAGCGCGGACAUCUUUUCGGUGUCUUGAUGGCUCUUUUGAGGAUAGGGCGAGAGAUUCACCUGUGGAAGUAAUGCGUUCUCUCUUUGCAAAAGAGAAGCUGCCUUAGAAAUGAAUGCCUCUUUUGGCUACGAUUUUUCGAAAGUCUUAACUUUUUGAAGAGGAGUUAAGCGGGUAAAUGCUAUCUUUUCUUAUACACAUUUAGUAUGUGAGCUUCCUGUCCAUAGUCUGCACUAUAUUAACUCUGCUAAGCUUUCGGCAGGAUUCUUGGCUGUUUGUGGUGCUUUGAUACACGGUCCUGUUACUUUCAUGUCAUAGGACAAGGUGUUAGUCUUAAAAAUUCUGAAUAGUCCUUUUGUCCUCAGGAAGCUAUUACUUUGUACUGAUGGAUGAGUUCUUUCUCAGUAAAACGUGAUCUUUUGGAAGCUUUGGUGAGCAUGCCAAUUUGAUUUGCAUUUUCUUCUUCCUAGCAAUCUCCCGUCUCUUGUUAUCAUCUUGGUGGAAGAUAUCUGGUCUUUGUCUCCUCCGUUUGCAUGGUGCUUCUAUCUUGUUAGGUUUCCCGGAUAAGUUACCCUUUCAGGUGUAAUGAUGGCUUUUCCUUUGAAUUGGCAAUGUUCCUAAUAAACACAUGGUUCUUUUUGCUUGGGCAGCUGUGCGUGCAUUGACUUGCAUUUUUGCACUGAUGAUCUUUGCUGCACACAUUCAGCCAAUCAUUUGUGAUUGAUCAUGUAUCUUCCCCCCUAUUCUUUUAGAAGUUGUGCUUGCUCCAUCUAAAUUUGAUACUCUUGGAAUAAGAAACAACCGGAUAUGACCAUCUCCUUUUCAGUUUUUCUCUGUAGUUACUUGGUUAAGGUUUUUGUGCAUUCUUAAAUAUGGUUCUGUAAAUGAAUAUUUUCUUUUCCCGUUGCUUGUCAAAAUAUUUGGAGAUCAAAGUGGCAACAUGUGCUCAGCUGGGAAGAGUACACUAUUCUUCCUUGUUAGAAUCAGAGGGGAAUUUUAUCAAGGUAUUGGUUAAUUUUCAAGUAGAGUUUGACAGUAGAUUCUAUCAAAUUUCUGUUGAUCUAUGCGACUUUCUUUAUAUAGUUAUUUCUUCAAUCUCAGAACUAGUCACAUGCAUAACUUGAUCCCUAAUGUCAAGGACUUUCUUAAUAGAUUUUUCAUAAUUUCAAAAAUCAUUCUAGAGUCCACCCCCCCAAAAAAAAAAAAGAAAAGAAAAGAAAAGGGGAGCUGAAAUAGGAAACCCAAAGGAUCCUAAUCAUUAAAUUACAAAGUACAAAAAUGUCCAUGGGAACGCGGUGACCAAAUCACCAUAUGAGUUAUAAUAACUCUACACUAGGAAAUAAAAACCAUAGCAGACCACGAAAUCACAUUUAUGGAAAUUCAAGACUAGGAAUUUAAUUACGUAGAGUACAUCUUGGAGGGAAAAGCUUGUGUGCGCGAUGUUAGCGAAGUCUAGUUCUGUCGAUGGAUGAGGAGACCAUAAUAGCAAGCAUGGACUGCGUUUUAAUCUUGUGCUGAAACUUUAUCAUCAUAAGCCCUAUUUCUUCAGUCUUGUCUUCUCCAUUAUCCACUGAUGCUUCCAUUGCUUCAGCCUCUACACAAUCCAAGUGCAUGCCAUAAUCGCAGUCUGUGCAACAGUAGCACCAGCAUCCCUUGGCGAUGCUCUCCCAGCACAUGUCGGAUCAGGCUCUAUUCUUGCGUCUGGGAAUAGCACAAUGUGAGGGUGCUCGUGGUCCUUGCGCUUUGCCCUUGUCACCAAGUCGGUGCACUCCACAUAGAGAUCGUAUUGGUGGAUCGAGCAGUUGUAGGAGGAUGUGUCCCCGUCAUCUCCACAUGCGUCACAAGUGAACUCUCUCCCCUCGUAAGGUGGCGAGAGGAGGAAAUGAAGCGGGUACUCAGGGUGCAACUCAUGAUGAAUAGUUCUCAUUGGUUGUCGCUGUCCACCACUGUCUGGUAAUGCUUUUGGUACUUUGAUAGACCCAUGUUAUUGGGUUGCUGGGACGACGGUGCCCUGAAGGUUGGUGUAGGGAAGUUGGUAGCAGGGGAUUGGUGCUCUUCGAUAGCCUCCACAUUUGGUUGCUUUGCCAACAUCCCGAAACUCGAUGGCCUGGUGAUGUCCUGAGCCGGUUAUUGGUGCUCGAGGUAGAAGGAGAAGAGUGAGGCUGCAUAGCUCACGUGUGGGAGAAUGAUCUCCUGAAGCGGGAGAGGGUUGUUGGUACAAUGGACAUGGAGGUCGAAGUCGCACGGCACACAAGAGUAAGAGAUGCCGGUGCAAGGGUGGCAAGGGCAGCAGAGGAAGGAGGCAGAGGGGUAGGCUGGGGAGGACAUUAGAAUGAGGGGGGUGGGAAUGGUGGUGGACAGGACGCUUCGCAUGGAAGCAGUGCAAAUGAAGGAAGUAGCUGCACUAGAUGCAGGCGAAGACGUCCAAUGGCGCUUCGACCUGGGAUUCGCAUUCGAAGCAUUGAAUCGGAUGGUCAAGCCCUUAUUGAAAGGGUUGGCAAAGGAUCAGGUUGUGUGGAUGGCUGAAAUGCUUGUGUGACUCCAUCCAUGAAUUAGGCUGUGUGUGUGUGUGAAAGAGCGAAGGGAGGGAGGAAGGUUGGCUUAUGAAUUCCACUAGGAACUGCUCAUAUAAGCAGGAAAUAGUGGAUGUCGAGGAAUCAAUGGAAAAACAUUGAAUAUUCUCUAAAUGAUGUGUUGGACAGAGUCAAUUACAAUAUACAACACUUAUGUAAAAACUUGUGUUUUUCAGUUGGAUCCAAUGUGAAUUUUAUUAUGUCUUGAUAUGUGAUUGCCAUAAUCUAUUAUACUAACCCUAUAUAAUGCCCUCAGGAAAUUUCCAAGAAAGUCCUAAAUCUAUUGGAUGGCGAUCGAUUGUGUUAUAAAUCUUUCAAUUUCAUUAAUUUAGUCAUAAAUAUUUUGACAAUUUGCAAUGAAGUUUUUCCAACUAAAUAUGACUAGAAAAUCAAUAAUGUGAAUGUCAACUAUCCCAAGCGGCAUAAUCGAUGUUGACGUAAACAACUUUUGUAAUUGAAAAAAAAAAAUAUUUUGAAUUUUGUUUUUCUAUUGUUGAGAUUCUAACUAGUGGGGCCUAAUGCCCUCGCCAGCCACAAGGAAGUGCCUACACGCCCUCACUGGCCAUAGGCGAGUGCCUUUGGGCCUUUAUCAGCUACAAGUGAGGGAGUCACGGCCCUCCCUUGUGGCUAGCAAGGGUCGCAGCCUCACCGGCUCAAAGUUGGAAAAAAAAGGAAAAUAAAAGAAAAGAAGGGAACAUAAAAUUAAAAAUAAAAAAUUAGAAAAAAAAUGAAAAAGCUAUCCACAUCAGCACCAACUAUGCCACAUAGAAUAACUAGUAUACACGUCAGCGAUUUCCAGCCAAUUAAUUGGUAAUCAUCGUGUUUAUAACUAAAUUGGCCAAGUAAUGUUAGUUGUAUUCCUUUUUUGGCGCAUUAAAGGGAAGUGUAUCCAACAUGGCAACCUAUGACAUUACCUAGUAUAUAUAUAUAUAUAUAUCUUGAAGGUGAGGUCCACUAAUUCAGAUCAUUGUAUACAGCUUCUCACCUGCAUGAAGUGGUCGUGGAAAUCAUAGCCCAUGUUGAUCUCUCUCUCUUCUUCAAGUUCAUGCUCAUGCAUGUCAUUGGCAGAGUAGGGUGAUUCUUCCGUUUAAUCGACUCGGUUAUUCCUUAUGAUCACGCUACACUUACAAAUCUAUAAAAAUUGUCCAUUUAUUUUUUGGCAUCAUGUGCCCUUACUUAAAGGGCAAGUCAAGUUGUUUCUUGUUCCACGUAUGCUUUACUAAAAUGGUUAAACUAUACUUUUGAUCCCUGAACUUGAGAGCAAUUUUUUUUCUCCAAUCAAAUGCUCCUCAACUUUUAGCUUGUUUCAUCAAGUUAUGAACUUGUAUAGCUUUUCUAAUCAACUCUCUUCAGCUUCAAAUAUAGUUAAUUGGAUCCGAUAGAUCUUUUUCCAUAAACUAUCACAUCUUUCUCUUGUCUAUUUUCAUCACCUACAUAUUCUUUAUAUUCUCAAUCUUUCUUUGACAUGCUGUUAGGUUUAACCGUCUCAUUUUUGGUACAACUGCAGAUGAGUUUAACCAUCAUGAGGAAUCUAUUGAAUUUUGCUAAAUAAAGGGACCAUUCAUGGAAUAGUCUCACACGCUAGUAUUCCUUUUAGUCUUUUUAUAACAAUGAGAUGUCUGGGGUAGAGCACUCGACUGGUCAUUACUGAGUAUUGUGGUCCUUCAUUCCCCACACAUCAUGGGUAAUCACCGAAAAUACAUGGAUCUGUGCUCCUAGCGGCUCAAGAGAAAAGUGCAAGUGUAGUAAUUUGAACUCAUGUCAUGAGUGAAAAAGAAACACAAAUUUACCACUUAAGCAACGCCUUGGAUUUAAAUCUGGAGAUUAUUCUAAAUUGAAUGAAUAUGAGACAUAGCAUAGUCUAAAAUGGUUAUCAUAGCAUGUGAGACAUAUUUGAAUACACAGACAAAAUUUUAGCAUAAUAUUUAGUUGGUGCGUUUCAUCGUUCUGAUUCUACAAUAUAGGAGUGAUUUUUACAACUCUAUAUAAUGAGUCGAGUGAAUCUAAUUCUAGUAUAAACUAUAUAUAUUUACUUAUAGGUCUUGUUUAUAAAUGUAAUUAUAGCCUCCUAUUAGGGAAGUGUUUUACUUCCUAUUGGUGGACAAGUCGGGCUUUAGGAAUAUGCCAGAACUCCAAUCUGCACACACGAAACAGGUCGAAGUGUUCGAAUAUUUUAUCUAGAUUGGCGCUCCAAUAUUUAAGUUAGGUAGGGAAGAAUAUGUGCAGAUACUGAGCUUAAAAGGAAGAUGAUAAGCUAAAUACUAUAAACUUUACUUGAGUCCCUUGGCAGUAUUUAUAGACAAGCUUACCCUGGCGGGUGAAUGGUCGCUAACAUAGGUGAUGGCUUGCUUGGACAGGGAGGUCUUUGACAUGCCAGGUGGGUCACUUACAAUUUUACAAAUGGGUGGAAAUUAGUCUAUGGGGAAAUUAGUCUAUGAUAUUUGAGCCCAACUCUUUAUGGGGUCUAUAUGGAUUUGCACAAGGCCCAUAUUCAACCCAUUUAGUUUAUCAGCUCCAACCCAUAAUUUGAGACGAAGAAACUUCUUCGGCUGCAAGAAGAGCACACUUGGCUAUUACAUCCUACGUCACGAACACUUCUGACUCUUGCAAGUUAAGUCUUAAAGAGUUGAUAAUUGGAAAAUAUAAUUGAAAGGAAGAAACAAAAAAGUUUAAUGUAUGUUAUUCACAAGAUAAAAGGGAAAAUAAUAGUGUUAUACUUAAGUGAACCUUAAAACCUUAAAAGGUCAUGUUAGCAUCGAAUCAAAGCUUGAACGAGAUUCAUAAUUUAUGGAAGGACUUUUACCACCACCUUCACACCUCCGUCCAUGACUGACGCUCAAGCUCCCUCACUAACUCGACGAGUCAGUCCAUGGAGCUGCCCAUUCUUCGAAUGCAACAAUUUAGAAAAAAAAAAUUAUUAAAAAUAGAUCAUGAUCGGGUUGGGCACAGGUUGUCGAAUAUAUACUUUAUGUAAAUUAGUCAAUUUUGGCUGAAUUUCGACUUAACCCAAAAAACCCGUUUGACGGGUGUACAUAGACCAAUGGGCACUAGAAUUUUGAGUAGCGGACAAACCAUUGCUCCCCCUAGUGGAUUUAUGCAAGGUGGUGGUCUUGUCGAGGGACGACCCGUCAAUUGCGAUGGACGCGCCUCGUUAUCAAAGGCUCACCUUGACCCGUUGGACAAGGCAUGUAACAUGUUGGAUCAGAUAAGGACAUGUAGUGUGGGUCCGAUAAUGAGCUAAAUCCGGAAUUGGUUUUUUUUUUUUUUUAAUUAUCCCACAUCAUGUGUUAUCAGGAAAUAAGAGCAAGUUGAAUAGAUGAAACGGAUCGACGCUCCUACGACUUUUCACAUGUGAGCUGUCUCGCUCAUGCCACUGUCUAAAGAAGAAGCCGGAUCAUUGACUUGACUGAAACUCUCGCACUUCUUCAAUGAAAUGCAUCUGCCAACUGCACCUUGUUUACAUUUCUAACUAGCUAUAUACCUGCGGAUUUAAAUACGUGCCGAGUCAUUUUACAAUUACAAAGAAUCUUUUGAAUAAAAAUGUGAUUUUGUUAAUAUAAUAGUACAAUUUAGGAAUGAUUUGUACAACUCUAUAUAAUGAGUCGCAUGAAUCUAAUUCUAAUUACUUAUAGGUCUUGUUUAUAAAUGUAAUUAUAGCCUCCUAUUAGGGAAGUGUUUUAACUUCCUAUUGGUGGACAAGUCGAUCUUGAGGAGUCUGCCGGAACUCCAGUCUACACACACAAACACGGGUUGAAGUGUUCGAAUAUUUUAUCUACAUUGGCGGUCCGAUAUCUAAGUUAGUUAGGGAAGAAUAUGUGCAGAUACUGAGGUUAAAAGGGUGAUUAUAAGCUAAAUGCUAUAAACUUUACUUGAGUCCCUUGGCAGUAUUUAUAGACAAGCUUACCCUGGCGGGUGAAUGGUCGCUAACAUAACGUCAUUUGGUUGAGACAGGUGACGGUUUGCUUGGACAUGUGACGACUUUGACAUGCCAGGCGGGUAACUUACAAUUUUACAAAUGGGUGGAAAUUAGUCUAUGAUAUUUGAGCCCAACUCUAUAUGGGAUCUAUAUGGGUUUGCACAACCCAUUUCGUUUAUCAGCUCCAACCCAUAAUUUGAGACGAAGAAACUUGUUCGGCUGCAAGAAGAGCACCACUUGGCUAUUGUAUCCUACAUCACGAACACUUUUGACUCUUGUAAGUUAAUUCUUAAAGAGUUGAUGAUUGGAAAAUAUAAUUGAAAGGACGAAAGGACGAAACUAAAUGUACAUUAUUCACAAGAUAAAAGGGAAAACAAUAGCGUUAUACUUAAGUGAACCUUAAAACCUAAAAAGGUCAUGUUAGCAUCGAACCAAAGCUUGAACAUGUUUCAUAAUUUAUGGAUGGACUUUUACCACCAUCUUCACACCUCCGUCCAUAACUGACGCUCAAGCUCCCUUGCUUACUCGAUGAGUUAGGCCAUAGAGCUUCCCAUUCUUCAAAUGCAACAAUUUAAUUAAAAAAUAUUACAAAUAGAUCAUGAUGGGUCGGUCACAAGUUGCCGAAUUUAUACUUUAUGUAAAUUAGUCAAUUUUAGCUGAAUAUUUUUUACUCAACCCAACAAACCCAUUUGACGGGUGUACAUAGACCAAUGGGCACUGGAAUUUUGAGUAGCGGACGAGCCAUUGCUCCCUCCUGUGGAUUUAUGCAAGGUGGAGGUCUCGUUGAGGGAUGACCCGUCAAGGGCAAUGGACACGCCUCAUUAUCAAAGGAUCGCCUUGCCCCGUUGGACAAGGCAUGUAACAUGUUAGAUUAGGUAAGGACAUGUGAUGUGGGUCCAAUAAUGAGCUGGGCACUGGAAUUUUGAGUAGCUGACGAGCCAUUGCUCCCUCCAGUGGAUUUAUGCGAGGUGGAGGUCUCGUCGAGGGAUGACCCAUCAAGGGCAAUGGACACGCCUCAUUAUCAAAGGAUCGCCUUGCCCCGUUGGACAAGGCAUGUAACAUGUUAGAUCAGGUAAGGACAUGCGAUGUGGGUCAAAUAAUGAGCUGGGCACUAGAAUUUUGAGUAGCGGACAAGCCAUUGCUCCCUCCAGUGGAUUUAUGCGAGGUGGAGGUCUCGUCGAGGGAUGACCCGUCAAGGGCGAUGGACACGCCUCAUUAUCAAAGGAUCGCCUUGCCCCGUUGGACAUGGCAUGUAACAUGUUAGAUCAGGUAAGGACAUGCGAUGUGGGUCAAAUAAUGAGCUGGGCACUAGAAUUUUGAGUAGCGGACAAGCCAUUGCUCCCUCCAGUGGAUUUAUGCGAGGUGGAGGUCUCGUCGAGGGAUGACCCGUCAAGGGCGAUGGACACGCCUCAUUAUCAAAGGAUCACCUUGCCCCAUCGGACAAGGCAUGUAACAUGUUAGAUCAGGUAAGGACAUGUGAUGUGGGUCCAAUAAUGAGCUAGGCACUGGAAUUUUGAGUAGUGGACGAGCCAUUGCUCCCUCCAGUGGAUUUAUGCGAGGUGGAGGUCUCGUCGAGGGAUGACCCAUCAAGGGCGAUGGACAUGCCUCAUUAUCAAAGGAUCACCUUGCCCCAUCAAACAAGGCAUGUAACAUGUUAGAUCAGGUAAGGACAUGUGAUGUGGGUCCAAUAAUGAGUUGGGCAUUGGAAUUUUGAGUAGCGGACGAGCCAUUGCUCCCUCCAGUGGAUUUAUGCGAGGUGGAGGUCCCGUCGAGGGAUGACCUGUCAAGGGCGAUUGACACACCUCAUUAUCAAAGGAUCACCUUGCUCCAUCGGAUAAGGCAUGUAACAUGUUAGAUCAGGUAAGGACAUGUGAUGUGGGUCCAAUAACAAGAUUUUUAAUGAAGAUUCUUGCAUCGAUGACAUCAACAUGUCAUACUACGGAAGAUCCUAUUGCCCGCUAGUAUAUAUUCGCGAAUUGUUUCGAAACGACAUCCUAAGAAAACCGAAAGAGAGCUGAGAGCACUUUGCUACAAAUCUUCAUGGACCUUCCCAAUAUAGAUAAGGUUUUGUCCAGGUCAUUCUCAUGCUUGACUACCAUCAUUCUUUUGCUAGGGAGUGCCCUAACUUUAGUAGAAGCUGGAGGGAACGAGACUGAUUGGCUGGCUUUGUUGGAAUUUAAGGCCCAAAUAACUGAUCUCGACGAGGUUUUGAGCUCGUGGAAUGAUUCUAGCCACUUCUGCGAGUGGUACGGUGUCACAUGCGGUCGUAGACACCAAAGAGUCUCGGUGUUGGACCUCAGCUCCAAGAACUUGAUCGGGGUCUUGCCGCCUCAUAUUGGUAACCUGAGCUUUUUGAGGGAAGUUUAUCUACAAAACAAUAGUUUUCAUGCCAAAAUUCCCCCACAUUUUGGCCGAUUGUUUCGAAUGCAAAAAUUGCGCCUUAACAACAACUCGUUUAGUGGUCAAAUCCCUUCGAAUCUCUCCUAUUGCUCUAAUCUGCUCCUUCUUAACUUAGGCUUCAACAUGCUCAAAGGAAAUUUGCCGAUAGAACUGGGCUCAUUGUCCAAGCUCCAAGUACUUAUACUUCAAGUCAACAGCUUGAUGGGAAACAUCCCGCCGUCUAUUGGAAACUUAUCAUCUCUUCAAAAGUUCGGAAUAUCGUGGAAUAACUUCGGUGGUACGAUCCCAAAGACUCUUGGCCAGCUGAGAAAUCUAAAGGGGUUUAGUCUCACCGGAAAUAAAUUUAUCGGUACAAUUCCUAUCUCAAUCUUCAAUAUAUCCACUCUGACAAGUCUUGGUGUAGGUGAAAACCAAUUAGAAGGGGGUUUACCUAAUGACUUAGGCUUCACUCUUCCGAAUAUUGAGUUUAUUUUUAUGUAUCAAAACCACUUCACUGGACCCAUUCCUGAGUCAAUAUCCAAUGCCUCUAACCUCAAGCUAAUCCAAAUUGACCAGAACAAUUUUACUGGGAAAGUUCCUUCUUUUUCAAACAAAAGAGGACUCUAUUGGUUUAAUAUUCGCCUCAACAACUUAGGAGGUGAACAAUCUACUGAUUUGGACUUCCUUUGCUCUUUAACCAAUUCCACAAAAUUGAUAUAUUUGAGUAUAGGGGAAAAUGCUUUUCGAGGACUAAUACCCGACUGUAUCAGCAACCUCUCGACCACCCUUUCCACAUUUUCGUUAAAAUGCAACCAUAUUUCUGGUACCUUACCUUCUGGAAUCGGAAAUCUCAUCAAUUUGGAGGGCUUGUCUAUGUGGAGCAAUAACAUCUCAGGAAACAUUCCUUCUGAGAUCGGAAAUCUGAACAAAUUGAAGAUUUUGGAACUCAGCCAAAAUAAAUUAUCGGGGAAAAUAUUGGAAUCAUUUGGGAAUUUAAGUUUGUUAAUCCAAUUGUACUUGGACAACAAUAAUUUUCGGGGCUCGAUACCAUCGUCUCUUAAAAAUUGCCAAAAUCUACUUCUCUUAGACCUUUCGACCAACAACCUCAGCGGUCAUGUACCCCCGGAAAUUAUGGGCAUCUCAUCUUUGUCGAUUUACCUUGACUUGUCUCAAAAUAAUCUUACUGGCCCCAUUCCAGAAGAAGUUCGAAAAUUGAAAAAUCUUGGCACACUAUAUCUUAACGGGAACAGAUUAUCUCAACAGAUUCCAAGCAGUAUAGGCAGUUGUAUAAGCAUGGAACGCCUAUAUGUACAGGAUAACUUCUUUGAAGGGCCCCUACCAUCCAUUAUGAGUUCCAUGAGAGGCCUUCAGGUUUUGAAUGUUUCCAACAACCAAUUGUCUGGCCAAAUCCCGAAAUUUCUAGAGUCGCUAAAUCUGACGAAUUUGAGCCUAUCUUACAAUGAUUUCGAGGGUGCAUUGCCUACAGGAGGAGUUUUCAAAAGUGUCAUUUCAACUUCGGUCGUUGGAAACAAGAAGCUUUGCGGGGGUCUCCCAGAUUUUCAACUACCCAAAUGCUACUACAAAGAGUCAAAAUGGACGAGAAUAAGCGGAAUUGCAAAAAUUCUUAUAUCUAUAGUCUCUGCUCUUGUUGGAGUAGCCUGCAUACUGUCUUUGUUAUACUUCUUCUGGUUUAGACACAAUAAGAAUGCAUUAGCUUCAAGCUCUUCUGAAGACGGGCUUUUGCAUGUUUCUUAUCACAAUCUACUAAAAGCGACACGUGGAUUCUCCUCCACCAAUCUGCUUGGUGUGGGCAAUUUUGGGUCCGUGUACAAAGGGCUACUUGAUCAAACUCAGUCGGUUGUGGGCCAUCAAGAUUCUCGACCUUACAUGUGAUGGAGUUCGAAGAGCUUCAUAGCCGAGUGCGAGGUGUUGAGAAGAAUCCGACACCGUAUCUCGUGAAGGUACUCACGGCAUGUCUGGGUGUGAUUUUGUGGAAUGAUUUCAGGCACUUGUCUACGAAUUCAUGUCAUACGGAGGCUUGGAUGAGUGGCUGCACCCGAUUGCAUCACAACAUACGGAGAGAAACAAGUUGAGUCUACUUGAGAGAGUGAAUAUUGCAAUCGAUGUUGCUUGUGCACUAGAUUAUCUCCUUCAUCACUGUGAAAUGCCGAUAGCUCAUUGUGAUCUAAAGCCAAGUAAUGUCCUUCUUGAUAAUGAAAUGAAUGGACAUGUAGGCGAUUUUGGGCUUGCUAGGUUCCUUCCAGAAGCAACACAUAAGUUGCUAGCAGAUCAAUCGAGCUCUGUCGGAGUAAAGGGAUCUUUUGGCUACGUAGCUCCAGGUAAUGAAGCAUACCUUGGGUCAUUCAGUUUGUUUCUUUGAACACAUAAUUGUAGAUAGAUCCUUAAAGAAAAAAAGGCAUAGACAUAAAACGUCACCGAGAAUAUAUUUCAAACUUAAUCAUUCACCUUGCAUCAAUACAUUGUUGAUUGUUGUAGAGUAUGGCAUGGGAAGAGUGGUAUCUACAGAAGGAGAUGUGUAUAGCUUUGGAGUCCUCAUUUUGGAGAUGUUCACAAGCAAGAGGCCGAUUGAUGACAUGUUUGAAGAUGGGUUGGACCUUCAUCGCUUCACAAAGGCAGCUUUGGCAGACCGAGUGGAGAAGGCAAUUGAUCCCAUUUUGCUUCAAGAAAUCGAGGAGUUGGAGAAGAGACGAACAAUUGCUCCAGAGGGCAAGAACAAGAGCUGGUGUAGUAUCAAGGAUUGUUUGGUUUUGAUCAUCGAAGUAGGAAUCACUUGCUCUUUUGAGUCUUUGAAGGAGCGAAUGGACAUCUAUGAUGCAUUGACUAAACUCCAAGGAAUGAGGAAGAAACUUCUUGAGUUCAUUGUCACUGUCUAGUUGAUGUCAAAUCUGAACUUCAUAUGGAGUCAUGUGGUCUUCAUGGUCCUUGCUUUUUGGUUUUUCUUCCUUUGUAAUUCAACCAUUCUCUAGAUGUUACGUUUUGUCUUUCAACAAUUUGGUCUUCAUGGUGGGUAUGCACUACUUGUACCUAUAAUUUUAGUAAAUGUUAAUUUUGUUGCGUCAUGCAGACCAAUAAGCUAGGCUACUGAAACCCAGUACUUCAUUCUUUCUUUGUUUCUUGUUUGUGUGUGUGGCUGCUAUUAAUGGUGCCUUUGGCUUUGCUUAAACUUUCGGACCCACCACGGCACGGUGGCAUUGCGGUGGUGGGUCCGAAAGUUUUUAGCUCAGCCUUCAAAGACUGAGGCAAAAUGGCCUCAAAAGAUUGCAUAACGCUCCUUCAGCGGUUUUAAAAUCAACUAGAAACGAAUUACGGUGGCAAGGAAGGGACAACAACAAUUUCGCUUCAGCAGUAGGCAAAGGAGGAAGCAAACGGUAGAAAAAGCAAAGGAGGAAGCAAACGGUAGAAAUCUAAUUCAUGCAUUUUUUUAAAUCAAUUGCAAAUUUUGGCGAGACUUUCAGUCUGUCGGAAUAAGUCGGCUAAUAAAAAAUUGAUUGGCAGGCAAACUCAGCCCCUUAAUUGAGAUUAUCUUUAUCACUUAUUUGAAGGACGGGGUCGGAGAUCUGGAGCUCGGGCGGCUCCUCCUCCUCCUCCUCUGCCUUCCGGCGGGAGGGCUUGCGGAGGCGGUCGCGGUUCUUGACGAAGAGGUCGAUGAGGGAGGUGGGGAAGCCGGUCUCGACGACGAGGGAGCCACCGCGGCGCGGGGAGGACUGGAGGUCGGCGACGAGGCGGGAGAUGCGGGUGACCCUCGACUUCUUCCAUGGCAAGGGCAUGAUUUCCCCCCCUUCUUCUGCGACACGCGCAGAGCAAGAUCGAAAAGGAGAGAGAGAUGGUCGAGAUGGUGGAGGGAGGAGGUUGAAGGGGAAUGCUGAAGAAGAAGAAGGAGGAGGAAAAAAAGGAAAGAUCGAUGAAAUGGUUCGGUGAAGUGGAGGGGGAAAUGAAACUUCCACGGAGGGAUUCAAACGUUCAUUUUUCACUUCUUAUUUUCCUCGCUGUUUCUCCCUCUCUCUCUCUCUCUCUCUCUCUCUCUCACAGAGGAUGUUUUUCACGUGACUCGAGGGGAGAGUGGGAGGGGAAAUCUGCGCCGUUCUCCGCGCCCAAGCGAGCCCCGCUCGAUCUCGUCCGUCGAAUUAUGCAGCCGUGGGCAGGACCCAUAAAUCCGACGGUGGAUACUCGUUGGGCUCACGUAAGUCCUGUCCACGGAAGUAUUGCUCGGAAAUUGGCGCUAGAAGCGAGACAAAGGACGGCGAGUGGGGGCCGAUGUGAACGGAGGGAGUGUUCAACUGACGCGUUUCUCUGCAGUUGUUUUUUCGGUUUUCGUAUCAGUUGUUUCCUUUCAUCUAUGCUUUCGGUUCCGCUACGUUUUGACAGGGGAUCCGCCUCCAUCGCUACGUCGCCCGGUCACUGCAUCGCCGAUGCCUCCCGUCCCGGCUCAUCGCCCACAGGCUCCGCUGCAUCUACGCCGACCGCAUCCGCAUCCGCAUCCGCCUCGCUUCGGCGCCGUCUCUGUCUCCCCCGGCUCCCGUGAGGUUCCGCUUGCGGUGCGUUCCGAGCUCUGCUGCUCCUCUCGGCGCAUUCGGCGGACGCCGCGGCGGCGGCGGCGGCGGCGGCGGCAGAGGAGUCGACGGUGAGGAUGGGAAGGAGAAAUCGGUCGUGGAUGGAGCCGAGGAGGCCUCAGGGGUGUCACCUCCGAUGUCAUAAUUCUCGACGUUGGAGUAAGCCCCUCUCUCUCUCUCUCUCUCUCUAUGUAUCUCUCGCACUUUAUGUAAAUGUACGAGCUAAAGCUUCGAUUUUUAUUUUUUAUUUUUUAUUUUGGGGUGUGCGGCCACUUGAGAGUCUCUGUUUCGUCUCUGCAGGGAAUGACUCGUGGGGGAUGUGCAGCGGGUAUGAAGAGAAUUUUGGAAAAUCAAGUGAGUUUGCCACUCUGCUUUUGUCUUUCUUGUAAGCCAUCUUUCGUAUGAAAAGAAUCGUCAUCGACUUGAAUUAAACCAAGUGUGAGAACUGUCAUUUUCUGAAUGUGAUUUGAACCCAGCGUGUUUUCUCUUUUUUUCUGCUCUAGCAUUGGACAGCCUCAAGUAUCUGCUGCCAGCGUAAAUCUUACAACCGGGACAUCUAUUGUAUGGCCUGUAUCUGAAGCCAAGGCUAUGCCUAAUUGGCAAAAAGAGUUGGGAGAAACACUAGCAAAACACUUGACAAAUUGUGGCUUUAAGUCUAACCCGGUAAACUGAUUUAUUCACCAUCUGCUUGUUGCAGUUGAAUGGGGUGUGGCUGACAUUUGUGAAUAUCAUUGCCGCAUAUAAUGUACCUUUUAUCACAGAUUUUCUGUGUCGAAGACUCCAUCUACUAGUUGGAAGUACAAGCUUUUAUAUCUGUAAUUUUCCCUGUCAUAUAAUACAAAAUAACUCCGAGAAGAAUAUUUUUAAUGCUGGGGGUGGUUGACAAGUUCUCUGAACGCUCUCAUGGAUUUGGUUUUGUGACUUCUGAUGAGAAGCAAGCAGUGGGUGAGGCUAUUGAGGCUAUGAAUGGGAUGGAUUUGGAUGGGAGAAAUAUCAUUGAGGAAAAAGCUCAGCCUCAAGGUUCCGGUAGAGACCAAGAUGGUGAUCGCAGUUCUGAUCAUGGCCCUAAUAGGGAUAGUGGUACUCAAGGAGGAUCAGGAAAUGACUGCUAAAUCAGGACCGUUCUGGUCCCUAUGAACAUUGUGGUACAGGAAACUUCUGUUCCGGUUAAAAAGAAUAUUCCUGAUAGGUAUGCACACAGUUUUUUUUUUUUUUUUUCAGAUAUAUUAAAGCAGUUGAUGCUGUGCUGAUUGAAAAAUAUUUUGUGCUUGUAGCAGUGCAAUUGGAGGUACUGCUGUUACUUGCUGGAGCCAAAGUCCCUUCUAUUGCAUCUCUUCUUUAUUGUUCUCUGGGUGGACAAAUCUGCUCGAUCAGUCUUUUGAUGUGCAAACUUUGGCUAAAAGAUUCAACUGUUUAAUGUCCGUAAAAUGCUCGUUUUGAUAGUUUGGUCUGACAACAUUGCUUGCUUGACUUAAACAAUCAAAUUUGGUCUUAUGGGUAGUGGAUUUUUUUUCACUUACAAGCUUUAGCAAUUGCAAAUGCAUCUGAGAUUGAUCUUAGUUGACUUCUUCAUUGGCAUUUGCGACUGUGGAGCGCAGACAGCUUUCUGGUGUCUAGAUGGCUCUUUUGAGGAUAGGGCAAGAGAUUCACCUGUGGAAGUAAUGCGUUCUCUCUUUGCAAAAGAGAAGCUGCCUUAGAAAUGAAUGCCUCUUUUGGCUACGAUUUUUCAACAGUCUUUAACUUUUUUAAGAGGAGUUAAGCGGGUAAAUGCUAUCUUUUCUUAUGCACAUUUAGUAUGUGACCUUCCUGUCCAUAGUCUGCACUGUAUUAACUCUGCUAAGCUUUCGGCAGUAUUCUUGGCUGUUUGUGGUGUUUUGAUACACGGUCCUGUUACUUUCAUGUCAUAGGACGAGGUAUUAGUCUUAAAAAUUCUGAAAAGUCCUUAUGGCCUCAAGAAGCUAUUCCAAUAUGCAAUUAACUUGGUAAAAUUCCAUCUCGCCUUCCAUACACUGUACUGAUGGAGGAGUUCCUUUCUCGGUAAAACGUGGAGAUCUUUUGGAAGCUUUGGUGAGCAUGGCAAUUUGAUUUGCAUUGUCUUCUUCCUAGCGAUCUCUGGUAUUGUAUCACCAUCUUCAGUGGAAGAUUGCUGGUCGCUGUCUCCUCCAUGUGCACGGUGCUGCUAUCUUGUUAGGUUUCCUGGAUAAGUUUCUCCUGCAGGUGUAAUGACGGCUCUCCCUUUGAAUCAGCAUAUUUUGGUUGAUACGCAUGGUUCUUUUUGCUUGGGCAGCUGUGCGUGCAUUGACUUUCAUUUCUGCAUAUUAAUGAUCAUCGCCGUGCAGUUUCAGCCGGCUGUCUGUGAUUGCUCUUGUAUUUUCCUUUAAUUCUUUUAGAAGUUGUGCUUGCCCCAAUCUGAGAUUGGCUCCGGGUUUGUGACUCCUAGGGUUUACUCUUGGCAUAAGCCAAAACUGGACAUGAUCACAGUGGCAUUCUUUUUCUCUGUAGUGAUUUGGUUUAUUUUAUUGUGCAUUCUCAACAGUGGCUCUGUAAAUGAAUAUUUUCUUAUCCUGCUAUGAUUGUCGAGAAUUUAGGAGAUCAAAUAUGCAAUUUGAUCCAUGUGCCCAGCGGGAAUUUCACCACACUAUUGGGAAAUUUUCAAGUAGAGCUAGAUGGUACAUUCUUUCAAUUUUCUGUUAUGCUAUGCGACCUUCUCUACUGCUGUUUCUUUAGUCUUAGAGCUAGUCACAUACCUAACUUGAUCCUCACAUGUUAAGGAUCUUGAAUAGAUUCUUCAUGAUGUCAAAAUCAUUUCAUAAUUUUGUAAAAGUGAAAACGGUAGCUAGAAUAGGAAACCCAGGAUCACGAUGAAAUAGUGCAAAUGUCUGAAUUAUCAAAUUGCGAAGGAUGUGAUUGAGAACACUCUGACCUAAUCACCAAAUGUGUUAUGAUAACUACACAUGAAAUAAUCACAACCCUAACAAACCACGAACUUGAAACUUAAGAAAAUUCAAGAAGUGGAAUUAAAUUACGUAGGGCACACCUUGGAGUGAAAGGCCUGGGCUCACAACGCUAGGUUGAUGGAAGAGGAGACCAUACUAGCAAGCAUGGACUGCAUUUUCAUCUGGUGCUGAAGCUUCAUCAUCAUAAGUCCUGUAUCUUCAGUCUCAUCUCCUCCGUCACACUCCGAUGCUUCCACUGCUUCAGGCUCGACACAGCCCAAGUGCGGACAGUAAUCGUAGCCCGUGUAAUAGUAAUGCCAGCAACCCUUGGCGAUGCUUCCCCGGUACCUGUUGUUGAUCAGGCUCCGCUCUUGCGUUAGGGAUAAUAUGAUGCGAGAGGGUGCUCGUGGUCCUCCCGCUUCACCGUUGCCGCCAAGUCGGCGCACCCCAGGUGGAGGUCAUAAUGGCAGAUCAGGCAGUGGUAGAAGGAUGUGUCCCCAUCGUUCAAGGGGAAGUGCAUUAAACAUGGCAGUUUAUCACAUUACUGAGUAUAUAAUUGUUUGCACCAAAAUUUGAAUUCAAUUCGAGCGAAACAAUAAUAUGCACAAAGAAUUUACUCAAAUAUUGAAAAAAGUGGUUGAUAUAUGCAUUAUAUGCAAUUUACUCAAAGAUUAUCCUGUGUUAAGUUAUUUUUUAAGUAAUAGUACAAAAAAUAAAGAAAUAUGCAAGUCAUUAACAUAAUAAUUAAUUGUUUUUCUCAGAAAGACAAAAUUUAGCUUCUUUUUUUUGGGUCCGUGCACAAUAUUUAGUUAGCUAUCUACCAAAUAAACUAGUUUUUGAAAAAGAGAUACACUAACUUAGUUCCAAAUAGAGAAAGAAAAGGAAAAAACCAAAAAAAAAAAAAAAAAGGCAAACAUUAGUCUCAAAUUAAGAUUGGACCCUAUAGUUAAUCUCAAUAAAUGCUGUUUGAAAGAAAUAUGUGUAGUUUCGUCUCUAGAAAGAUAAGAAAUCAUCUUAAAUUAAGAGUAGGACCCGCAAAAGAUGAUAUAAUUAAUUCAAUGUAAUAGGGUGUUAAUAGCCAACAAAGAGAUGGAAAUCACGCGAGUCUAUUAAAAUAAUAAAACUACUUUUGGUCCUUGAAUUUGAGCAUUUUUUUCCAAUCAAUUGAACUUGCAUAACUUUUUAAAUUGAGUCUCUUUAGCUCUGGAUCUAAUUAAUUGGAACCGACAAAUUUUAUUCUUGAGCUUUCACAUUUUUCUCUAUUCUCUUUUGAUAUAUCUAUCUUAAAAAAUCAUUAAUAUGAUGGUCUAAUUAGCGUUUGCCAUCUUCCGUGACGCGAUUGGUGGCUAACACGGAGAAUUUUUUAAAUAAAAUGAUGUCGUUUUGUUUUUUUAAAAAAUUUUAGAUUUUUUUCUUUUUUUUUUCCCUAAUCUUUCAUUAUAGUGUUCAUCAUUUUCCCUUUGCCUGUCGCGAGGACUUGGAAACAACCCGUGAAGGUUGCGGCUAUAGGCAAUGGUCGUGACGCCUUUGGGCAGAUUUGGGCAAUGGUCUUAGAUUGCCCUCGGCCAAGUUAGGCGACGGUGUUGCAGCACUUGCCAUGCCUUCACAAGCCAUUGCUGAGACCUGGACAAACGGCGAAGGGAUGAAAUGAAAAAUAGAAGGAAAGAAUAGGACAAAAAAGAGAGAAAAGAAAAAAAAAACUCAAUUUUCAAAUAUGUGGAAAAAUAUCUAAUAAGUCUAUUAUUCAUGUUAAGGAGAUAGUUUUUCAAGUACCAUUGAACGUGGCAGCCCCAAGUAAAAGAGUCACACUGAGAUCACCUUGAAGCCAUGUCAUAGAAAAAUAUCUAGCAUGAUAUUCUCGUAUACUUAUAGGUGGAUCGAAAACUCAUGACUCAAACUCAAUAUUUCGUAAUUGAUAUGAGAUUUGACAUUUGCCUAUCUAUUCUUUCUAUCCUUAGUUUUUUUUUGGCAUACCAUCUAAUUACUAUGAACAAAUUAAUAAAAUUUUAGCAUAUAACACUUAAUUAGUAUUUCUCUUCUUACAAAUUCUACAGUUUAGGGGUGAUAUCUACAACUCUAUAUAAUGACUUGUAGGAAUCUAAUUCAUUUGAAUGCUUCAUUUGUUUCAUGGAAAAUGAAUGAAUUGGAAAACUUAUUUUUAUGAAUGAUCGCUAAUAUCGCUAAAAGAAACCGUUAAUAAAAAAUGUGUUCAUUAUUGACAACAAUUUUUGUCUAAACAUUUUCAUGGGCAAUAAAAAUAUUUUUUGUUUACUUAGUUUUUGUAAUUGACACAAGCUAUCAGUUUUUGGAAAAUAUUUUUCAAAUUAUUUAUUUUUUAUAAAACAAACAUAGGCUAAAUUUCAAAUUUGUCAACCAAGACUUUGCCUAAAUAAUGCAUAGUACAAAGGACAUAAAGUAAUCCCACAUGUCUUUCUUUGUCCUACGUCACCCAAUCACAUUGCCGUUUCAUGCCAUUCUUGUUUGAUUCCCCUUUGAUAAAGAUCAUGUCGUGUGAUGUGAAUCUUAAUUAUUUCUUAAUUAUAGUCUUAUUUCCAACAUAUUUAUUUUUCAUUUUUGGUUUGUCUAUUUCUAAUUGGUCUUAGGUGAUUGCUAAAAAAAAUAAAUUCUUUUUAGUUACAUCGCACCAAAAAGAUUCAAAGACCCUAGAACUAUUUUUUCAUGGUUGUCACGACUAAUUAAAGAAUAAUUGGAAGUUAAUUAAAGGAGGUAAGUCCAAUUACAAUCGAAUGGGUCUAUACAUGGAGAGAAUUUGGUUAGCAUGGGAGGGAGAGUUGGCUUGCCAUGCACUUUGAUGUGAUGCGCAUAAUCGCUUUCUUACAUGCGAACAACAUCGAAUUCCCACCUUCUUUUUAUGAUCAUUUCCUAUACUUUUGCUUUUGGAAAGUAUAGUACCAAACACCCUCCCUCAUAUUAGGAUCAUCUUCCCCCAUAAUCACGGGCACGUAACCAAUCAAAUCAAGUAAGGACAUUUGGUGUGUCUAUUAUAAUUAACUAAAAUCCAAUAUUAUGACUUUACCUGAUUGGGUCUUUGUUUAUAAUUCCUUGACUCUAGGGAAAUAAGAGCAAACAAAAGAUUGGGCAGAUGAAAUUGAUUGAUGUUCCCAUGACUUUUUCCACGUGAUCUGUCUUGCUUACACCCUGUCAAAAGAAGAAGGAUCUAUUACUUGACUUGACUUGAAAUAUCACACUUAUUCAAUUUAAUAUUAUUUGCCAACAACAACUUGUUUAUUAUUUUGGCUAGCUAUAUACUUUUAGGAUUUGAUAUAUACCUAAUUAUUUUAUAAUUCCAUUUUUUAAAAAUAACAAUGUGACUAUAUUAAAAAGUUAAUGAUCAUAAUAUAAUAGUGAGGACUUUGUCUUUAUUAAUUAGUAAUUCACCUAUUAGUAUUCAAGAUGUAAACUACAACUUGCAUAUCAAUAUGACAAGUUCAAUGCCGAUACAACAUGGAUCUAAAAGGUAGUAUUUUGAAAUGGAUUCUUCUACACCAAAGUAGACAUUUAGCUCUCUUUUAUUUACACAUAUCUCUUUCAAUUUUAAUAAUAAGAAACGAUAUUUCAACAGGAUAAAAUGGGACAUUACAAAUGUAUAAUUUAUAAAAAAAGAUAUGUAUUAUAAUUGACAAAUGAAGGUAAAGGUGAUUAUAAAUUGUGAAAUAGACUUACUUACAUGUAUGGUUAAUAGUGUUCUGUUUUUGAGAACCGAAAAUCAAGAUUCUAAAUGCGCAGAAAAGACUAAAGUCAUUGCCCCCACUAAACUGCCCGGCAAUUCAGGGAUUGAAAUAUAGAUUAUAGGAUAAAGGACGCUAUUGAUAAAUAAUGAAGAAAACCAAGUAAGGCCCAUGCCGUUUCACCUUUCAUUGACUGACUGGAUCAUCAAUAAUUGCCUUGCUUGUAACGGUCUUGUAAUUUUCUCAACACGCGUGAAUGGCUGAAAUGCUUAUGUGGUUUCAUCUAUGUUUUAGGUUCUGUGUGCUGUAUGUAAGAGAAGUGGCGAAGGGAGGUUGGCUUAUAAACUCCACAAGGAAUUGCUCAUACAUGCAGGAAAUAUUGGAGGUUUGAAAAUGAGUGAAAAAAAUAUCGAAGGUCCUUUUAAUGACAAGCGAGACAAAAUCAAUUAUAAUGUACGAAAAUUACAUAAAACUUGUGUUUUUUAGUUGGAUCCAAUAUGAAUCACAUUAUCUCUGGAUAGGCGAUUGGCAUAAUUUAUCAAGGAAUUUUACCAGAGUGUUGGAUAAUUUUCAAGAAGGGCUUUGUAGUAUAUUCUGUCAAUUUUCCAUUAAUCUAUGAGACUUUAUUGAUAUAGCUAUUCUUUUAAUCUUAGAGUUAGUCACGUACAUAACUUGAUUUCUAAUGUCAAGGGUCUUCUUAAAUAGAUUUUUCAAUAUAUCAAAAUCAACCACUGGAGUUUGCCCCAGUGGCCACCCUUCCAACAUGGAAGGGAGAGGUGGGGAGUUCGAAUCCUCACAUUCUCAAGGGAGGGUUGGGGGUGGAGACGAUGUAAUUUCAGGAGUGGGUUUCGACUCCCACUUUUACGCCUUGCAAGGAGGUAAGACAAAAGUCUGAAAGUGAGCGAUAGAGUAAGACCGUAUGUCCUUUGGAUGACUCAACAGAUAGAAUCAAUCGCAAUAUGCAAAAAGAGUGUGGAAAGUUUUUGUUUUUCAAUUAGAUUCAAUAUGAAUCACAUUAUCUCUUAAUAUGUGAUUAACAUAGUUGUCGUGACCAAAAUUUCGAGUGAACCACCUAAAAUUAGGCUAAUGGACUAUUAAGUUUAACUUAGCUCGGGCUCUCCCAAGUCCAUACCAAUUCGCGACUUAGGUUCAAAUAUCUAGCAUGCAAAAGGGAGUCGCCACUAAUAAGUUUAUGGUAGGUCGAUUAGGCACCUAAGUAAAAUAAUGGGAGAAUUAUUUUACUUCUAUGAACAAGAGAUUUUGGGUACGGGGACUUGAUUACACUAAAAAAUCGUUGAUAUGAUGAUCUAAUUAGCAUUUGUCAUCUUACGUGACGUGAUUGGUGGCUCACGCGGACAAUUUUUUAAAUAAAAUGAUGUUGUUUUGAUUUUUUUAAAAUUUAUAGAUUUUUUUUUUCUUUUUUCCCCCUAAUCUUUCAUUAUAGUGUUCAUCAUUUUCCCUGUGCCAAUCGUCAGGGACUUGGAAACAACCCGUGAAGGUUGCGGCUAAAGGCAAUGGACGUGACGCCCUUGGGCAGAUUUGGGCAAUGGUCUCAGAUUGCCCUCGGCCAAGUUAGGCGACGGUGUCGCAGCACUUGCCAUGCCUUCCCAGGCCAUCGCUUGAGACCUCGACAAAUGGGGAAGGGAUGAAAUGAAAAAUAGAAGGAAAGAAUAGGACAAAAAAAAAGAGAAGAAAAAAACUCAAUUUUCAAAUAUGUGGAAAAAUAUCUAAUAAGUCUAUUAUUCAUGUUAAGGAGAUAGUUUUUCAAGUACUAUUGAGCGUGGCAGCCCCAAGUAAAAGAGUCACACUGAGAUCACUUGAAGCCAUUUCAUAGAAAAAUAUAUGGCAUGAUAUUCUCGUAUACUUAUAGGUGGAUCGAAAAGUCAUGACUCAAACUCAAUAUUUCAUAAUUGAUAUGAGAUUUGACAUUUGCCUAUGUAUUCUUUCUAUCCUCAGUUUUUUUUGUUGGCAUACUAUUUAAUUACUAUGAACAUAUUAAUAAAAUUUUAGCAUAUUACACUUAAUUAGUAUUUCUCUUCUAACAAAUUCUAUAGUUUAGGGGUGAUAUCUACAACUCUAUAUAACGACUCGUAGGACUCUAAUUCAUUUGAAUGCUUCAUUUGUUUCGCAAAAAAACGAAUGAAUUAGAAAACUUAUUUUUAUGAAUGAUCGCUUAUAUCGCUAAAAGAAACCGUUAAUGGAAAAUGUUUUCAUUAUUGACAACAAUUUUUGUCUAAACAUUUUCAUGGGCAAUAAAAAUAUUUUUCAUUUACUUAGUUUUGUAAGCGACACAAGCUAUCGGUUUUUGGAAAAUAUUUUUCAAAUUAUUUAUUUUUUAUAAAGCAAACAUAUGCUAAAUUUCAAAUUUGUCGACCAAGACCUUGCCUAAAGAAUGCAUUGUACAAAGGACAUAAAGUAAUCCCACAUGUCUUUCUUUGUCCUACGUCACCCAAUCACAUUGCUGUUUCAUGCCAUUCUUGUUUGAUUCCCCUUUGAUAAAGAUCAUGUCGUGUGAUGCGAAUCUUAAUUAUUUCCUAAUUAUAGUCUUAUUUUCAACAUGUUUAUUGUUCAUUUUUGGUUUGUCUAUUUCUAAUUGGUAUUAGGUGAUUGCUAAUAAAAAUAAAUUCUUUUUAGUUACAUCACACCAAAAAGAUUUAAAGACCCUAGAACUAUUUUUUCAUGGUUGUCACGACUAAUUAAAGAAUAAUUGGAAGUUAAUUAAAGGAAGUAAGUCCAAUUACAAUUGAAUGGGUCUAUACAUGGAGAGAAUUUGGUUAGCAUGGGAAGGAGAGUUGGCUUGCCGUGCACUUUGAUGCGAUGCGCAUAAUCGCUUUCUUACAUGCGAACAACAUUGAAUUCCCACCUUCUUUUUAUGGUCAUUUUCUAUACUUUUGCUUUUGGAAAGUAUAAUACUGAACACCCUCCCUCGGAUUAGGAUCAUCUUCCCCCAUAGGCACGGGCACGUAACCAAUCAAAUCAAAUAAGGACAUGUGGUGUGUCUCUAAUAAUUAACUAAAAUUCAGUAUUAUGACUUUACCUGAGUGGGUCUCUGUUUAUAAUUCCUUGACUCUAGGGAAAUAAGAGCAAACAAAAGAUUGGGCAAAUGAAAUUGAUUGAUGUUCCCAUGACUUUUUCCAUGUGAAUUGUCUUGAUUACACCCUGUCAAAAGAAGAAGGAGAAGAAGGAUCGUUUACUUGACUUGACUUGAAAUAUCACACUUAUUCAAUUUAAUGUUAUUUGCCAAUAACAACUUGUUUAUUUUUUACCUAAUUUUUUAGGAUUAGAUAUAUACCUAAUUUGUUUAUAAUUCCAUUUUUUAAAAAUAACAAUGUGACUAUAUUAAAAAUUUAAAAAUUAUAAUAUAAUAGCGAGGACUUUGUCUUUAUUAAUUAGUAAUUCACCUGUUAGUAUUCAAGAUGUAAAAUACAACUUGCAUAUCAAUAUGACAAGUUCAAUGCGGAUACAACAUGGAUCUAAAAGGUAGUGUUUCGAAAUAGAUUCUUCUUCACCAAAGUAGACAUUUAGCUCUCUUUUAUUUACACGCAUUUCUUUCAAUUUUAACAAUAAGAAACAAUAUUUCAACAGGAUAAAAUGGGACAUUACAAAUGUAUAAUUUAUAAAAAAGAUAUGUAUUGUAAUGGACAAAUGAAAGUAAAGGUGAUUAUAAAUUGUGAAAUAGACUUACAUGUAUGGUUAAUAGUGUUCUGUUUUUUAGAACCGAAAAUCAAGGUUCUAAAUGUGCGGAAAAGACUAAAGUCAUUGCCCCCACUAAACUGCCCGGCAAUUCAGGGAUUGAAAUAUAGAUUAUAGGAUAAAGGACGCAAUUGAUAAAUAAUGAAGAAAACCAAGUAAGGCCCAUGCCGUUUCACCUUUCAUUGACUGACUGGAUCAUCAAUAAUUGCCUUGCUUGUAACGGUCUUGUAAUUUUCUCAACUCGUGUGAAUGGCUGAAAUGCUUACGUGGUUCCAUCUAUGUUUUUAGGUUCUGUGUGCUGUAAGAGAAGUGGCGAAGGGAUGUUGGCUUAUAAACUCCACAAGGAAUUGCUCAUACACGCAGGAAAUAUUGGAGGUUUGGAAAUCAAUGAAAAAAAUAUGGAAUGUCCUUUUAAUGACGUGCGAGACAAAAUCAAUUAUAAUGUACGAAAAUUACGUAAAACUUGUGUUUUUUAGUUGGAUCCAAUAUGAAUCACAUUAUCUUUGGAUAGGUGAUUGGCAUAAUUUACCAAGGAAUUUUACCAGAGUAUUGGAUAAUUCUCAAGAAGGGCUUUGUAGUAUAUUCCGUCAAUUUUCCGUUAAUCUAUGAGACUUUGAUAUAGCUAUUUUUUUUAAUCUUAGAGCAAGUUACAUACAUAGCUUGAUUUCUAAUGUCAAGGGUCUUCUUAUAUAGAUUGUUCAAUAUGUCAAAAUCAUUUUGCAAUCCAAAAAUAAAAAUAAAAAUUUUAUGUCCUUUGGAUGACUCAAUCGAUAGAAUCAAUCAUAAUAUGCAAAAAGAGUGUGAAAAGUUUUUGUUUUUCAAUUAGAUUCAAUUUGAAUCACAUUAUCUCUUAAUAUGUGAUCAGCACAGUACAUUGUAUUAACUCCAUAUAACAAAUUUCUCAAGCAAUAUUAAUCAUUUUUCUUCUUUUGGACUUUAAGGGGAAGUACAUUGAACACGGUAACCCAUAACAUAACCUAGUAUAUAACGUGCGAAAGAAGAGAUACUAAUGCAGUUCACUACAUACGGCUUCCAACAUGCAUGAAGUGAUCUUUGAAAUCAUGCUAAUCUCUCUGUCUCUCUCUUCUUCGAGUUCAUGCUCAUGCAUGUUAUCGGCAAAGUAGUGAGAUCUCGGUUUUUCCUUAUUUGAAGGGUAAGUGAACAUGUAUCAUAUUGCCCGUAUGCUUCAUUAACAUGAUAAAACUAUACUCUUGAUCCCUAAGUUCGAGCUUUAUUUUCCUAUCAAAUCCUCUAAACUUUGAGUUUUGUCCCAUCAGAUCAUUGAAAUUGUAUGUCUUUUUCUAAUUAAAAUUCCUUUAGCUCCAAAUCUAACUGAUUGGAACUGACAUUCCUUCUUCAUUAACAUUUUUUUUUCACUAUCCUAUUCUCAUCACCUACGUAUUCUUUCUAUCUCCAAUUUUUUUGGCAUACCAUUUAAUUACACGAGCAAACUAAUAAACAUUUAGCAUAUUACACUAAAUUAGUAUUUCUCUUCUUACAAAUUUUAUGGUCUAGGGUUGAUGUCAACAACUCUAUAUAAUGAUUCGCAGGAAUCUAAACCGUUUAAAAACUUCAAAUUUGUUGACGAGUUAAAAACUGUAUAGUACAAAGGACAUAAAGUAAUUCCACAUGUCUCUCUUUCUCCCACGGCACCCAUUCACAUUGCCUUCUCAGGCCAUUCUUGUUCGAUUCCCCUUUGAUAAGGACUGUGUCGUGCGACACAAAUCUUAAUUAUUUCCUAAUUAUAGUCUUAUUCCCAUGAUGGUCAAUGUUCAUUUUUUUGUUUGUCUAGUUCUAAUUGGUCUAAGGUGAUUGCUUAAAAAAAAAAUCAUUCUAGUUACAUCACAUCAAAAAGAUUUGACGACCCUAAAACUAUUUCUUCAUUUUUUCUGGAUGUGGACGUCACAACUGAUUAAAGGAUAAUUUGGAGUUAAUUAAAGGAAGUAAAUCCAAUUACAAUAGAAUGGUCCGAUAUGUGGAGAGCAUUUAGUCAUCAUGGGAGGCAAAGUUGGCUUGCCGUGCACUUUGAUGCAAUGUGCUUAAGUUGCUUUCUUACAUGUGAACAGCUUUAAAUUCUCACUUUCUUUGUAUAGUCUUUUUUUUUUUCUACUUUUGCUUUUGGAAAGUAUGAUACUGAACAUCCUCCCUCGGAUUAGGAUAAUCUUCGCCCAUCAAGCAUGGGCAUGUAACCAAUCAAAUCAAGUAAGGACACAUGAUGUGUGUCUAAUAAUAAGCUAAAAAUCCGAUAUUAUGACUUUAUCUAAUUGGGUCUUUGUUUAUAAUUCCUUGAUUCUAGGGAAAUAAGAGCAAACGAAAGGUUGGACGGAUGAGACAUAUUGAUGUUCUCACAACUUUUCCCAUGUGAAUUGUCUCGAUUACGCCCUGUCAAAAGAAAAAGGAGAAGAAGGAUCGUUUACAUGAGUUGACUUGAACAAUUUCACUUUUUCAUUUCAUUAUCAUCUGCCGAUGACAACUUGUUUACUUUUUGACUAGCUAUAUACCUUUAGGAUUAAAUAUAUGCCUAGUUUUUAAUUGUUAACGAUAUUAUAUUGGAGAUUGUUAAGAUUUUCUAUAGAAUAUUAUCCUAUGUUAAAGAGAAGGAUUAACACCCUAAAAAACCCCAAACUGGUACACCUGUGAAAAAUUUAUCCCAAAUUAUUUUUUUGACCACCAAAAACCCCAAACUGGUAUACCUUUGACAAAUUUACCCCAAAUUGAUAUACUUGUGACAAAUUUACCCUCUGUUAGUUUUCGUUAAAUUUUACUAUUAAAUUAUUAAGUUAAAUGACACGUGACAGUUAACUGAUAUACCAAUUUGGGAUUUUACGCUUUGUCUGUCACAGUUUACAAUUUUUGUGAUUUUUUGGUGGUAUUAAUCCAAUUUAGCGAAGAGUAUAUUUGUCACAAAUUUACCGGUUUGGAAUUUUUUGCGAUUGAAUAAAUUAGUUUGGGGUAAAUUUGUCAUAAAUGUACCAGUUUAGGAUUUUUUAUGGUCAAUCGGGGUAAAUUUGUCACAAGUGUACCGGUUUGGGGUUUUUUAUGGUCAAAAAAAUAGUUUUGGGUAAAUUUGUCACAAGUGUACCAGUUUGGGAUUUUUCAGGGUAUUAACCCUAAAGAGAAUGAUGAUAUUACUAUUGAUUAUCUAUAUCAAUCAAGACUAUUAAAAAAGCUUGAUUGGACGACGCGGUCGGUGUGAUUAAUGUCAAAACAUAACUAUUAUGGAAAGGACUCGAUUAAGAGCUUUCUCUAAUGAGACUUGUAUUAUAAUUGACAAAUGGAAGUAGAGGUCAUUAUAAAUUGUGAAAUAGACCUAGUUACAUGUAUGGUUAAUAGUGUUCUAUUUCUGAGAACUCGAAAAUCAGGAUUUUAUAUGCACGGAAAAGACUAAAGUCGUUGCCCCUGCUAAACAGCCCGACAAUUCAGAUAUUGAAAAAUAGAUUAUAGGAUAAAGGACACAAUUGAUAAAUAAUGAAGAAGAAGAUUUGGCGACCCUAGGACUAUUCUUUUACUUUUUUUGUGUGGUCAUCACGACUAACUAGAGACUAAUUUGAAGUUAAUUAAAGGAAAUAAAUCCAAUUAGAAUUGAAUGGGCCUAUACGUGGAGAGAAUUUGGUCAACGUGGGAGGCAAAGUUGGCUUGCCGUGCACUUUGAUUCAAUGCGCCUAAGUUGCUUUCUUACAUGUGAAUAGCUUUGAAUUCCCACCUUCUUUCUAUGGUCUUUUUUCUGUACUUUUUCUUUUGGAAAGUAUAAUAUUGACCACCCUCCCUCGGAUUAGGAUCAUCUUCACCCAUUAGGCAUGAGCAUGUAAUCAAUCAAAUCAAGUAAGGACACGUGGUGUGUGUCUAAUAACUAGCUAAAAUCUAGUAUUAUGACUUUACCUAACUGAGUCUUUGUUUAUAAUUACUUGAUUCCAGGAAAAUCAAAGCAAAUGAAAGGUUGGACGGAUGAAACAAAUUGAUGUUCCCACGAUUGUUCACAUGUGAACUGUCUCAAUUAUACCCUGUCAAAAGAACAAGAAGGAUCGUUUACUUGACUUGACUUGAACUGUCACACUUUUUCAGUUUAAUAUCAUCUACCAAUGACAACUUGUUUACUUUUUGACUAGCUAUAUUCCUUUAGGAUAAAAUAUAUGCCUAGUUUUUUUUUUUUUUUAUAAUUCCAAUAAUUUUUUUUAAAUAACAAUGUGGCUAUGUUAAAAUGUUAAAGAUCAUAAUAUAAUAGCACGGACUUUGUCAUUAUUAAUUAGUAAUUCAUCAAUUAGUAUUCAAGAUGCAAAAUCAAUUAGUAUUCAAGAUGCAAAAUAUAAUUUGCAUACCAAUGAAACAAGUUCAUGCCGGUAUAGAAUGGAUCUAAAAGGCUGUAGUUUGAAAUAGAUUCUUCUUCAUCAAAUAGAGUUUUCUCCCUUUUAUUUACAUGCAUUAUUUUCAAUUUUAAUAAUAAGAAAUGAUAUUUCAACCGCAUGAAAUGGGACAUUACAAAUGUUUAAUUUAUAGAAAAGAUAUGCAUUAUAAUUGACAAAAGGAAGUAAAGGUGAUUAUAAGUUGUGAAAUAGACCUACUUACAUGUAUAGUUAACAAUAUUCUUGUUCUGAGAACCCGAAAAUCAAGAUUUUAUAUGCGUGGAAAAAACUAAAGUCAAUGCCCCUACUAAACAGCCCGGCAAUUCAGGGAUUGAAAGAUAGAUUAUAGGAUAAAGGAUACAAUUGAUAAAUAAUGAAGAAAACUAAGGCCCCAUUGAUUGACUUUAUCAUCAAUAAUUACGUAAAACUUGUGUUUCACCUUUCCUUGACUGACUUGAUCAUCAAUAAUUACCUUGCUUGUAAUUUUCUCAACUUGUGUGGAUGGCUGAAAUGCUUCUGUCGUUCCAUCUAUGUUUUAAGUUCUGUGUGCUUAUCUGUAAGAGAAGUGGCGGAGGGAGGUUGUCUUAUAAACUCCACAAGGAAUUGCUCAUAUAUGUAGGAAAUAUUGGAGGCUUUGGAAACCAAUGAAAAAAAUAUCGAAUGUCCUCUUAAUGAUGUGCGGGACAUAGUCAAUUAUAACAUACAAAAAUUACGUAAAACUUGUGUUUUUCAGUUGAAUCCAAUGUGAAUCAUAUUAACUCCUAAUAGGUUAUUGGCAUUGAUCUAUCAAAGGAGUUUUACCAAAGUAUUAAAUAAUUUUCAAGUAGAGCUUGACAGUACAUUUUGUCAAUUUUUUUGUUAAUAUAUGGGUAAAUUUGAUCCAACAUGAAUCACAUCAUCUUUUAAUAUGUGAUUGGCACAAUGUAACGUAUUAACUCCAUAUAACAACUUUCUCAAGCAAUAUUAAUCAUUUUUCUUCUUUUGCACAUUAAGGGGAAGUACAUUGAAUAAGGUAACCUAUAACAUUACCUAGUAUAUAACAAGAGAAAGAAGAGAGACUAAUGCAGUUCAUGAAUACAGCUUCCUACAUGCAUGAAGUGGUCUUGGGAAUCAUGCUAAUCUCUCUGUGUCUUGCGCUUCUUCGAGUUCACGCUAGUCCAUGUUAUUGGCAAAGUUGCGUGGUCUCGGUUGUCCCUGUAAUUCAAACUUGUUUCAUGACGUGUCCUUAUUUGAAGGGUAAGUCCACUUGUCUCAUAUUCCCCAUAUGCUUCAUUAAAAUGAUAAAACUGUGCUUUUGAUCCCUAAGUUAGGGCAUUUUUUUCUAACCAAAUCCUCUAAACUUUGAGUUUUGUCCCAUCAAAUCAUUGAGUUUGUAUAGCUUUUUCUAAUUAAAAUUCCUUCAGCUCCAAAUCUAACUGAUUGGAACUGACACACCUUAUUUAGUAACUUUUGCAUUUUUUGCUACUCUAUUGUCAUCACUUACAUAUUCUUUCAAUCCUCAAAUUUUCUGGUAUAGCAUAUAAUUACUUUGAACACACCAAUACAAUUUUAGCAUAUUACACUUAAUUAGUAUCUCCUCUUACAAUUUCCAUGGUUUGAGGGUGAUGUCUACAAAUUUAUAUAACGACUCACAGGAAUCGAACCUAUUUUAAAUUUCAAAUUUGUUGAUGCACACCUUCCUUAAGGAAUGCAUAGUACAAAGGCCAUAAAGCAAUUCCACAUGUCUCUCUUUGUCCCACAUCGCCCAAUCAAAUUGCCUUCUCAUGUCACUCUUGUUCGAUUCCCCUUCGAUAAGGAUCAUGUCAUGCGACACGAAUGUUAAUUAUUUCUCUCAUUCCCAAGAUGUUUAAUGUUCAUUUUUGGUUUGUCUAGUUCUAAUUGGUCUUAGGUGAUUGCUUUAAAAAAAAAAAAUUCUUUUUAGUUCCAUCGCACUAAAAAGAUUUGACAACCCUAGAAUUAUUUUUUCAUUUUUUGUGUGCGGUCUUUAUGACUAAUUAGAGGAUAAUUUGAAGUUAAUUAAAGGAAGUAAAUUCGAUUACAAUUGAAUGGUCCUAUACGUGGAGAGAAUUUGGUUAGUGUGGGAGGCAAAGUUUGCUUGUCGUGCACUUUGAUGCAAUGCACAUAAGUUUCUUACAUGUGAACAGCAUCGAAUUCCCACCUUCUUUCUAUGGUCUUUUUCUGUACUUUUGCAUUGAAUUGAAAUCUCUUCACCCAUCAGGUUUGGGCACGUAACCAGUCAAAUCAAGUAAGGACAUGUGGUGUGUGUCCAAUAAUUAAUUAAAAUUUGGUACUAUGACUUUAUCAAAUUGGGUCUUUGUUUAUAAUUCCUUAAUUAACUAAAAUUAAGUAAGGACAUGUGAUGUAUGUCUGAUAAUUAACAAAAGGUUGGACGGAUGAAAAACAUGUUGAUGUUCCCACAACUUUUUCCGUGGGAACUGUCUCAAUUAGGCGUUGUCAAAAGGAGGAGGAGGAGGACAAGAAAGAUAGUUUGCUUGACUUGAACCAUCACGCUUUUUCAAUUAAAUAUCAUAUGCCAAUCACAACUUAUUUACUUUUAGACUAGCUAUUUGCCCUUGGGAUUAAAUACGUACCUAGUUUUUCAUAAUUCCGAUAAUUUUUAAAUAACAAUACGACUAUAUUAAAAUGUUAAAGAUUACAAUAUAAUAGCGUGGGCUUUGUUACUAUCAAUUUAUAAUUCAUCUAUAAGUACUCUAGAAGCAAAGUUCAAUUUGCAUAUCAAUAUAACAAGCUAAACGCGGGUGCAACAUUAAUCUAAGAGGUAAUAUUUUGAAAUAAAUUAUUCUUCAUUAUAGUAGAAAUUUCGUUCUCUUCUAUGUAUAAGCACUAUUUUCAAUUUAAAUAUUAUCAAACAAUAUUCCAAAUUGUAUAAUUUAUAUAUAUAAAAAAAAGAUAUGUAUUAUAAUUGAUAAAUGAAGGUAAAGUUAAUUUUAAAUUGUGAAAUAGACCUACUUACAUGUACGGUUAAAACUGUUCCGCUUUUGAAUACUGGAGAGUCAAAAUUUUAUAUUUAUAGACCGGAAAUUCAGGGAUUGUAAAAGACACAAUUGACAAUGGAAAAAUGUAGUCCCCCAUGGUGUUUUCAGCUUUCAUUGACCGACCUUAUCACCAAUUGUUAACUUGCAUGUCACGGCCUUGUAAUUUUCUCAUUUUGAGAGGAGGAUAGAAAUUUCUGUCAUGACUAUUCUUGCAUUUGAUGAUAUCAUGUCUUAGUAUGGUCGAACAUAUUGCCUGCUAGUAUAUAUUCACGAAUUGUUUCGAAACAACGUCAAGAGAGAACCAAAAAGACUCCAGCUGAGAGCAUUUUGCUACAAAUCCUCAUGGACCUUGCCUAUAGAUAUCAGCUUUUGCCCAUGUCAUUCUCAUGCCUAACUACAAUCCUUCUUCUAUUAGGGAGUGUCCUAGCUUUAGUAAAAGAUGGCUGGGACGAGAUUGAUUGAUUGGCUUUAUUAGAAUUCAAGGCUCGAAUAGCUGAUCCUAGUGGGGUUUUGAGCUCGUGGAAUGAUUCUAGCCACUUUUGCGAUUGGGAUGGUGUCACUUGCAGUCUCAAACACCGAAGAGUCACCAUACUAGACCUUGGCUCCAAGAACUUAUCCGGGGUCGUGCCACCCCAUAUUGGUAAUCUGAGCUUUCUGAGGCGUGUCCAUUUGGAGAACAAUAGUUUGCAUGCCAAAAUUCCCCCGCAUUUUGGUUGCUUGCUUCGGUUGCAGAAGUUGUCCCUUAAUAACAACUCGUUCAGCGGUCAAAUCCCUUCGAAUCUCUCCUAUUGCUCUAAUCUGCUCGUUCUUAAGUUAGGCUUCAACAUGCUCAAAGGAAAUUUGCCGACAGAACUAGGCUCAUUGUCCAAGCUCCAAGUACUUAAACUUCAAGCCAACAGCUUGAUGGGAAACAUCCCGCCGUCUAUUGGAAACUUAUCAUCUCUUCAAAAGUUCCAAAUAACGCUGAAUAACUUCAGUGGUAUGAUCCCAGAGACUCUUGGCCAGCUGAGAAAUCUAAAGGUCCUCAGUCUCGCCGCAAAUAAAUUUGUCGGUACAAUUCCUAUCUCAAUCUUCAAUAUAUCCGCUCUGACAUGGCUUGAUGUAGGUGAUAACCAAUUAGAAGGGGGUUUACCUAACGACUUAGGCUUCACUCUUCCGAAUAUCGAGAUUUUCGGUACGUGGCAGAACCACCUCACUGGACCCAUUCCCGAGUCAUUAUCCAACACCUCUAACCUUAGGAUAAUCCAAAUCGAUGAGAACAAUUUUACUGGGAAAGUUCCUUUGUUUUCAAAGACAAGAGGCCUCUAUUGGUUUAGUAUUUACCUCAACAACUUAGGAGGUGAGCAAUCUACUGAUUUGGACUUCCUCUGUUCUUUAACCAAUUCCACAAAAUUGGAAUUUUUGGUUAUAGAGGAAAAUGCUUUUCGAGGACUAUUACCCGACUGUAUUAGUAACCUCUCGACCACCCUUUCCAAGUUUGGGUUAGCAAACAACCAUAUUUCUGGAACCUUACCUUCUGGGAUCGGAAGUCUCAUUAAUUUAGAGCUCCUGCAAACGAUGGGCAAUAACAUCUCGGGCAACAUUCCUUCCGAGAUCGGAAAUCUAAAUAAAUUGAAGAUUUUGGAUCUCAGCCAAAAUAAAUUAUCAGGGCAAAUACCGGAAUCGUUUGGGAAUUUAAGGAUGUUAAUCCUAUUGGACUUGAAUAGCAAUAAUUUCCGGGGCUCGAUACCAUCGUCUCUAAAAAAUUGCCAAAAUCUACUUCUCUUGGACCUUUCGACCAACAACCUCAGCGGUCAUGUACCCUCGGAAAUUAUGGGCAUCUCAUCUUUGUCGAUUUACCUUAACUUGUCUCGAAAUAAUCUUACUGGCCCCAUUCCAGAAGAAGUUGGAAAAUUGCAAAAUCUCGGCGAACUACAUCUUGACGGGAAUAGAUUAUCUCAACAGAUUCCAAGCAGUGUAGGCAGUUGUAUAAGCAUGGAACGCCUAUAUGUACAGGAUAACUUCUUUGAAGGGCCCCUACCAUCCAUUAUGAGUUCCAUGAGAGGCCUUCAGGUUUUGAAUGUUUCCAACAACCAAUUGUCUGGCCAAAUCCCGAAAUUUCUAGAGUCGCUAAAUCUGACGAAUUUGAGCCUAUCUUACAAUGAUUUCGAGGGUGCAUUGCCUACAGGAGGAGUUUUCAAAAGUGUCAUUUCAACUUCGGUCGUUGGAAACAAGAAGCUUUGCGGGGGUCUCCCAGAUUUUCAACUACCUAAAUGCUACUACAAAGAGUCAAAAUGGACGAGAAUAAGCGGAAUUGCAAAAAUUCUUAUAUCUAUAGUCUCUGCUCUUGUUGGAGUAGCCUGCAUACUGUCUUUGUUAUACUUCUUCUGGUUUAGACACAAUAAGAAUGCAUUAGCUUCAAGCUCUUCUGAAGACGGGCUUUUGCAUGUUUCUUAUCACAAUCUACUAAAAGCGACAUGUGGAUUCUCCUCCACCAAUCUGCUUGGUGUGGGCAAUUUUGGGUCCGUGUACAAAGGGCUACUUGAUCAAACUCAGUCGGUUGUGGCCAUCAAGAUUCUCGACCUUACAUGUGAUGGAGCUUCCAAGAGCUUCAUAGCUGAGUGCGAGGUCUUGAGAAGAAUCCGACACCGUAAUCUUGUAAAGGUACUCACAGCAUGUUCUGGGUUUGAUUUCAAUGGAAAUGAUUUCAAGGCACUGGUCUACGAAUUCAUGUCAAACGGAAGCUUGGAUGAGUGGCUGCACCCAACUGCAUCACAAUAUACGGAGAGAAACAAGUUGAGUUUACUUGAGAGAGUGAAUAUUGCAAUCGAUGUUGCUUGUGCACUAGAUUAUCUCCAUCAUCACUAUGAAAUGCCAAUAGUUCAUUGUGAUCUAAAGCCAAGUAAUGUCCUUCUUGACGAUGAAAUGAAUGGACAUGUAGGCGAUUUUGGGCUUGCUAGGUUCUUUCCAGAAGCAACACAUAAGUUGCUAGUAGAUCAAUCGAGCUCUGUCGGAGUAAAAGGAUCUUUUGGCUACGUAGCUCCAGGUAAUGAAGCACACCUUGGGUCAUUCAGUUUGUUUCUUUGAACACAUAAUCGUAGACAGAUCCUUAAAGAAAAAGGCAUAGACAUAAAACGUCACUGAUAAUAUAUUUCAAACUUAAAUUUUCACCUUGCAUCAAUACAUCGUUGAUUGUUGUAGAGUAUGGCGUGGGAAGUGCAGUAUCUACAGAAGGAGAUGUGUAUAGCUUCGGAGUCCUCGUUUUGGAGAUGUUCACAGGCAAGAGGCCGAUUGAUGACAUGUUUGAAAAUGGGUUGGACCUUCAUCGCUUCACAAAGGCAGCUUUGGCAGACCGAGUGGAGAAGGCAAUUGAUCCCAUUUUGCUUCAAGAAAUCGAGGAGUUGGAGAAGAGACGAACAAUUGCUCCAGAGGGCAAGAACAAGAGCUGGUGUAGUAUCAAGGAUUGUUUGGUUUUGAUCAUCGAAGUAGGAAUCACUUGCUCUUUUGAGUCUUCGAAGGAGCGAAUGGACAUCUAUGAUGCAUUGACUAAACUCCAAG